rnacentral:lncRNA from 1 species
GUGUGUAUGACUAAGAGGUGAAGGAGGGUUCAUCUUAUACAAAGGAUGAUUUGAUUAAUUUUAAAGAUUGGAUAAACAAUAAUUGCAUAUUCAAGUAAAAAUAACAUUGCUAAAAAGGAAAAUAAGUAUUUUAGUCCUCAAACCUAAAAUGGCUAAAAAUUUUAAUUAAUACAAUACAACUUCACCUACAAAAGAAAAAAAAAACCCAAAACUUUUCAAUAGCACAACUAAGUCCAUUUAUCAAAAAAAAGAAAUAUAAGGAAGUUGGACUCAUUUACUAGCAAUUUAACAUAUGACUAAAACCUAUUGAAGAAUUUGCAAUAGCACUUACUUUGGUCAUGUCCAAACUUAUUGCACAUGGUGCAAAAAGGGGUAGUGCUCGAGGAUGCUUCCACAUAAGAAAGACCCUACUUAACUGUUACAAAGGUUAUUUUCCCACUUGUGGGAAUGCUAACCUUGCUAAUAUAUUAUAUGCCAUGUUUAUCAUAUACAAAUUUUUCUUUACUAAAUAUUUCUUUAAUGAUCUUGGACCUAAAAUUAAAUAUUUCAUUAGUAUUGGUCAUGUCGUUCCUCAACUUUUCAACUUUUAGAGUUAAAUCUUUAUCUUUAUCAUUGAUAGUUUUAUGUUUAGUCCCUAGAAACUUCACCUUAUUAACAAUAUGUUCAUUUAAUAUUUUGAUAUUUUUAAUUUUCAAAGAAUCAUAGAGCUCAUUAAUUUUAAUGUCUUUUUAUUCACUUUUAUGCUUUCAACCUUUGUUUUUAGUUUUCCUAUAAUAAUGCAUCAUAGACCCCAUGUAUAUCAUUAAAAUAAAACUCAUUUUUUUCAUUAGGAUUCAAUUAACCCAAUGGAUCAUAAUCAAAAUUAGUUGCAUAUGAACAAAAGCAAUAAGAUUAUCAUUUUGUACAUCUUUACUUUCAUUUGAGUUCUUAGCCCUACAAUCAUCAAACAUGGAAUUACUCCAAGUUACCUACAUAGCCUUCAUACCUAAUGUUUUUAAGGCAAGGACAAUCAACAACCAUGUGUCCCAUUCCCCCAAUGGUUCACUACGAAAUCAAGGUACAUAUGUUAUGCUUUCUUUGUUUCAUAGUGAUUAGAGAGGAUAAACAUUGUAAAAAAAAAAGUUGUCAUAGUUAAUGUAAGCUAAAACUAAAAAACUUGCUUUUUCAAUUGUGUAAGCAUGUUUUGUUCUUGAUGAAUAUUUACAACAUUCAGAGUUACUAAUGUUUAUAAUUCACAGAGACCUCAUUAACAACAAGUAACAACUAAUUGUAAGUAACCAUGAAAAAAAAAUAAGGAGAAAAAUAAAGGAAAAUCAAGGAAAGUGUCAAAUUUUUUCAUCCCCAUAAAAAAUGCUAAGGAAGAAAAAUGUGAAGAAAGUUUAAAGAAAGUAUAUUUUUCAAAAAUUGAAUUUUCUUUCCCUUAAAGUUGGUAUGGACAACCAAACAAGAAAAUGAUUUUUAAAUUCUUUUUUGACCUUUUUCUAUCAUUCUUUUUUUUUUCCCCCUACUCUAUUUCCUUUCCCUCAAACUUUCUAGGUAGUAAACAUUACCUAAGAUAAAUAGGGAAGAAAAUAUUUUAUCAUUUAUUUAUUUAGUAUUUUUCUUACCUUUUUUUGUAUUUUAUCCAAAUAUAAGAAAACUACUUUUCUUUAUUUUUUCUUUUCCUUGUUGCUUUUCAAGAAUCAAGCAUACUUUAAACUCUAAUUAAGAGUUACAUAGAUUUACAGAGAAACAAUGCAACUAGUAACAAAAAAUUAAGGAAAUUUAAUUUUUUAAUUUUUGAGAGUAAGUAUAAUAAGAUUGGUUUGUUUGAUACAAAAUUUGAAUAAAAAUUAUUUUAAUGAAAAUUCAAGGAAAGGAAAAAAAAAAAAAAAAACUUGAUCUCUAGACUAUAAUACUAAAUCAAUUAAAAAAUCUCCUAACAUCGUUUAUGUUCAUCUUUUUUUUUUUAUGGAUUUGAAAAACCCAAUAAUUUGGAGAAAACUGAUUCAAGGAAGAAUAAUUUUUAGAAUAAAAUAUUAUUAUUUAAGAAGAUCAUAAAUUUUAUAGUCAUUGUUGAAAAUGAUAAAUGAUUAAAAAAAAAAAGGUAGUUGGAAAUUUAGAUACUUUUAUAAGACAAAUGCAUUUUUCUAGUCUGGUAUGAAAAAAGGUAAAAUGAUAGGCUUUGAUCAUUUUUCAAGUUAGUUUGUUUAAAUCAUUUUAAUUUAUUUUGAUUUAAGAACAAUAACUUUUAUUACACUAGUUAUUUUGAUUUUCUUUUGAUAGAUUUUGCAAGCUUAAGCAAUUUGGAGCUAUUGGAUUUGAGUUAUAAUUUAUUUAGUGGGAGCAUUCCAUCAUCUAUAAGAUUGAUGUCUUCUAUCAAGUCUUUAUCCUUGGCUGAAAAUUACCUCAAUGGUUUCUUAGCAAAUCAAGGUACAUAUAUUGUGAUUACAGGUUUUUCUAUUUUCUUUUUUAAUAUCUUGUUUGUUCUUUAUGCCAAUUAAGUCAUGCAUGUCUAUUAAUUUUUGGUAUUUAAUGAAAAACUUUAUUCUUAAUUCAUAAAGACCUCAUCAACUAUAAGUAACAGUUAGUUCUAAGUUUGGGGGCAUUGACAAGACGAGGAGAUGAUUGGUUACAUGUCUUAUUCUCUUUUGUUGGCUUUUGCCAAUUGAAUAAGUUUCAAGAAUUAGAUUUUUCUUACAACUUAUUCCAAGGAAUCCUUCCUCCAUGUUUGAAUAAUUUGACAUCUUUGAGGUUAUUGGAUCUCUCUUCCAACCUAUUCUCCGGAAAUCUUUCUUCCCCUCUGUUACCUAAUCUCACAUCCCUGGAGUACAUCGAUCUCAGUUACAAUCAUUUUGAGGGUUCAUUCUCUUUCAGCUCUUUUGCUAAUCACUCCAACUUUCAAGUGGUCAAACUUGGAAGGAAUAACAACAAAUUUGAGGUAGAAACUGAAUAUCCAGUUGAUUGGGUUCCCCUAUUUCAGUUGAAAGCUCUUAUGCUAUCCAACUGUAAGCUCAUCGAUGACCUUCCUGGUUUUCUUCGACACCAAUUAAGAUUAACCGUGGUUGAUCUCUCCCAUAAUAACUUGACUGGAAGUUUCCCCAUUCAGCAGCUUGAAAACAAUACAAGACUAGGAUCUCUAGUUUUGAGGAAUAACUCUUUAAUGGGUCAACUACUUCCCCUGAGACCUAAUAGUCGUAUCACUUUAUUGGAUAUCUCAGACAACCGACUUCAUGGGGAACUUCAACAAAAUGUGGCCAAUAUGAUUCCAAAUAUUGAGUUUCUAAAUUUAUCCAACAAUCUUCCCCUUCAUUUCAUCCAUAUUUGGAUCUACCUUUAAAUCUCUAUUGCAUACAACCCAUAUAUGAUUCCCUCUAAAUUUAGCCUUCAUUUCUUGUUAAGAGGUUUUAAAAGCCAGCAAUUUAAUUUACUUUCAUCCUCUAUAUAGAUGAGAACUCUUAUAUUUAUCCAAUGAUAGGUAACAUUUUUGCAAAUGCUUUUAUUUGAUUUUUUUAAUUGGUCUUAAAAAUAAGUGUUAAUAAAGAUCCACAAUAUAAAAUAAUAAAUUAUAUCUCAAUUGACCUCAAGAUACUAUUUACUUCUACUAACUCAUUUUACAUCUCAAUUGUUCUUAAAAAGUCUAUAAUGGUAAUUAACUAUAGAAUUCAAGUUUUAAUUAUGCAAAAAAUAUAUAAAGGUUUUUAAAAUUAAUAGAAAAAAAGAUUCUAAUAAAUAAUAAGUAGAUUGAAACAUUUAUUUCUAGAAGUAGAGAAAGAUGGAGGAUCAUAAAAGUUGAAAAAAGAAUAAUUUGGAAGUCAUAAAAUUUUGGAAAAAGAAUAAUUCAUAGAGACCUCAUUAACAACAAGUAACAACUAAUUGUAAGUAACCAUGAAAAAAGUAAGGAGAAAAAUAAGGGAAAAGCAAGGAAAGUAGCAAAUUUUUUCAUCCCCAUAAAAAAAUGAUAAGGAAGAAAAAAGUGAAGAAAGUUUAAAGAAAGCAUAUUCUUCAAAAAUUGAAUUUUCUUUCCCUUAAAAUUGGUAUGGACAACCAAACAAGAAAAUGAUUUUUAAAUUCUUUUUUGACCUUUUUCUAUCAUUCUUUUUUUUCCCCCUACUCUAUUUCCUUUCCCUCAAACUUUCUAGGUAGUAAACAUUACCUAAGAUAAAUAGGGAAGAAAAUAUUUUAUCAUUUAUUUAUUUAGUAUUUUUCUUACCUUUUUUGUAUUUUAUCCAAAUAUAAGAAAACUAUUUUUCUUUAUUUUUUCUUUUCCUUGUUGCUUUUCAAGAAUCAAGCAUGCUUUAAACUCUAAUUAAGAGUUACAUGGAUUUACGGAGAAACAAUGCAACUGGUAACAAAAAAUUAAGGAAAUUUAAUUUUUGAGAGUAAGUAUAAUGAGAUUGGUUUGUUUGAUACAAAAUUUAAAUAAAAAUUCUUUCAAUGAAAAUUCAAGGAAAGGAAAAAAAAACAAAUUUAUCUCUAGACUAUAAUACUAAAUCACUUAAAAAAAACUCCUAACAUCGUUUAUGUUCAUCUUUCUUUUUAUGGAUUUGAAAAACCCAAUAAUUUGGAGAAAACUGAUUCAAGGAAGAAUAAUUUUUAGAAUAAAAGAUUAUUAUUUAAGAAGAUCAUAAAUAUUAUAGUCAUUGUUGAAUAUGAUAAAUGAUUAAAAAAAAAAAAGGUAGUUGGAAAUUUAGAUACUUUUAUAAGACAAAUGCAUUUUUCUAGUAUGGUAUGAAAAAAAGGUAAAAUGAUAGGCUUUGAUCAUUUUUUAAGGUAGUUUGUUUAAAUCAUUUUAAUUUAUUUUGAUUUAAUAACAAUAACUUUUAUUACACUAGUUAUUUUGAUUUUCUUUUGAUAGAUUUUGCAAGCUUAAGAAAUUUGGAGGUAUUGGAUUUGAGUUAUAAUUCAUUUAGUGGGAUCGUUCCAUCGUCUAUAAGAUUGUUGUCUUCUCUCAAGUCUUUAUCUCUGGCUGGAAAUCACCUCAAUGGUUCCUUAGCAAAUCAAGGUACAUAUAUUGUGAUUACAGGUUUUUCUAUUUUCUUUUUUAAUAUCUUGUUUGUUCUUUAUGCCAAUGAAGUCAUGCAUGUCUAUUAAUUUUUGGUAUUUAAUAAAAAACUUUAUUCUUAAUUCAUGAAGACCUCAUCAACUGUAAGUAACAACUAGUUGUAAAUUUGGGGGCAUUGAUAAGACGAGGAGAUGAUUGGUUACAUGUCUUAUUCUCUUUUGUAAGCUUCUGCCAAUUGAAUAAGCUUCAAGAGUUAGAUUUUUCUUACAACUUAUUCCAAGGGAUCCUUCCUCCAUGUUUGAAUAAUUUGACAUCUUUGAGGUUAUUGGAUCUCUCUUCCAACCUAUUCUCCGAAAAUCUUUUUUCCCCUCUGUUACCUAAUCUCACAUCCCUGGAGUACAUCGAUCUCAGUUACAAUCAUUUUGAGGGUUCAUUCUCUUUCAGCUCUUUUACUAAUCACUCCAACCUUCAAGUGGUCAAACUUGGAAGGAAUAACAACAAAUUUGAGGUAGAAACUGAAUAUCCAGUUGGUUGGGUUCCCCUGUUUCUGUUGAAAGCUCUUGUCCUAUCCAACUGUAAGCUCAUCGGUGAUCCUGGUUUCCUUCGACACCAAUUAAGAUUAACCGUGGUUGAUCUCUCCCAUAAUAAUUAGACUGGAAGUUUCCCCAUUUGGCUGCUUGAUAACAAUACAAGACUAGGAUCUCUAGUUCUGAGGAAUAACUCUUUAAUGGGUCAACUACUUCCCCUGAGACCUAAUAGUCGUAUCACUUUAUUGGAUAUCUCAGACAACCGACUUCAUGGGGAACUUCAACAAAAUGUGGCCAAUAUGAUUCCAAAUAUUGAGUUUCUAAAUUUAUCCAACAAUCAUCCCCUUCAUUUCAUCCAUAUUUGGAUCUACCUUUAAAUCUCUAUUGCAUACAACCCAUAUAUGAUUCCCUCUAAAUUUAGCCUUCAUUUCUUGCUAAGAGGUUUUAAAAGCCAGCAAUUUAAUUUACUUUCAUCCUCUAGAUUGAUGAGAACUCUUAUAUUUAUCCAAUGAUAGGUAACAUUUUUGCAAAUGCUUUUAUUUGAUUUUUUUAAUUGGUCUUAAAAAUAAGUGUUAAUAAAGAUCCACAAUAUAAAAUAAUAAAUUACAUCUCAAUUGACCUCAAGAUACUAUUUACUUCUACUAACUCAUUUUACAUCUUAAUUGUUCUUAAAAAGUCUAUAAUGGUAAUUAACUAUAGAAUUCAAGUUUUAAUUAUGCAAAAAAUAUAUAAAGGUUUUUAAAGUUAAUAGAAAAAGAGAUUCUGAUAAAUAAUAAGUAGAUUGAAACAUUUAUUUCUAGAAGUAGAGAAAGAUGGAGGAUCAUAAAAGUUGAAAAAAGAAUAAUUUGGAAGUCAUAAAAUUUUGGAAAAAGAAUAAUUCAUAGAGACCUCAUUAACAACAAGUAACAACUAAUUGUAAGUAACCAUGAAAAAAGUAAGGAGAAAAAUAAAGGAAAAUCAAGGAAAGUGACAAAUUUUUUCAUCCCCAUAAAAAAUGAUAAGGAAGAAAAAGGUGAAGAAAGUUUAAAGAAAGUAUAUUUUUCAAAAAUUGAAUUUUCUUUCCCUUAAAGUUGGUAUGGACAACCAAACAAGAAAAUGAUUUUUAAAUUCUUUUUUGACCUUUUUCUAUCAUUCUUUUUUUUUUCCUUACUCUAUUUCCUUUCCCUCAAACUUUCUAGGUAGUAAACAUUACCUAAGAUAAAUAGAGAAGAAAAUAUUUUAUCAUUUAUUUAUUUAGUAUUUUUUUUACCUUUUUUUGUAUUUUAUCCAAAUAUAAGAAAACUAUUUUUCUUUAUUUUUUCUUUUCCUUGUUGCUUUUCAAGAAUCAAGCAUACUUUAAACUUUAAUUAAGAGUUACAUAGAUUUACGGAGAAACAAUGCAACUGGUAACAAAAAAUUAAGGAAAUUUAAUUUUUGAGAGUAAGUAUAAUGAGAUUGGUUUGUUUGAUACAAAAUUUGAAUAAAAAUUCUUUCAAUGAAAAUUCAAGGAAAGGAAAAAAAACAAAUUUAUCUCUAGACUAUAAUACUAAAUCACUUAAAAAAAACUCCUAACAUCGUUUAUGUUCAUCUUUCUUUUUAUGGAUUUGAAAAACCCAAUAAUUUGGAGAAAACUGAUUCAAGGAAGAAUAAUUUUUAGAAUAAAAGAUUAUUAUUUAAGAAGAUCAUAAAUAUUAUAGUCAUUGUUGAAUAUGAUAAAUGAUUAAAAAAAAAAAAGGUAGUAGGAAAUUUGGAUACUUUUAUAAGACAAAUGCAUUUUUCUAGUAUGGUAUGAAAAAAAGGUAAAAUGAUAGGCUUUGAUCAUUUUUUAAGGUAGUUUGUUUAAAUCAUUUUAAUUUAUUUUGAUUUAAUAACAAUAACUUUUAUUACACUAGUUAUUUUGAUUUUCUUUUGAUAGAUUUUGCAAGCUUAAGCAAUUUGGAGGUAUUGGAUUUGAGUGGUAAUUCAUUUAGUGGGAUCGUUCCAUCGUCUAUAAGAUUGUUGUCUUCUCUCAAGUCUUUAUCUCUGGCUGGAAAUCACCUCAAUGGUUCCUUAGCAAAUCAAGGUACAUAUAUUGUGAUUACAGGUUUUUCUAUUUUCUUUUUUAAUAUCUUGUUUGUUCUUUAUGCCAAUGAAGUCAUGCAUGUCUAUUAAUUUUUGGUAUUUAAUAAAAAACUUUAUUCUUAAUUCAUGAAGACCUCAUCAACUGUAAGUAACAACUAGUUGUAAAUUUGGGGGCAUUGAUAAGACGAGGAGAUGAUUGGUUACAUGUCUUAUCACUACUACAAAAAUUGAAAUUAAUGACGCUUUAUUUUAUGACGCUUUCUAAAAGCGUCAUUAUUGAGGGUAUACAAUGACGCUUAUAAGAAGUGUCAUAGUUGUAUUAUUUAUCUUGAUACUGAUUAUAAGUGUCAUUAUUUGAUGUCAUCUUUUUCCUUGUAACUGUGUAUAUAAUGACGCUUAUAAGAAGCGUCAUAGUUUUAUUAUUUACCUUGACACUUAUUAUAAGCAUCAUUAUUUGAUGGGUAUGUAAUGACGUUCUUGAGAAGUGUCAUAGUUGUAUUGACUUUUAAAAUUUUUGUUUUUAAGUUAACUUAUACAAAUUUUGAUAUUAGAAUAUUAUUCUAUAAAUUAAUUAUGGUAAAUUGACAUUAAUAUUAAUGACAUAAAGUUGCUACAUUAAGGUUUUUUUAAAAAAAUUUGGAUAUAAAUAAAAUAAAAUCCUAAUAAAUUAUUUUUUUAUUGUUUGAUAUUAAUUUUUUUAUAGUUUGUAUCAAUACAAUCUAUUUUCAUAAACUAUUUUUCAUUUUUAUUAAAUUAGAAAUUAUCUUAUAUUUCAUUUAAAAAUAAUUUGUUAAUUUAUUUGUGGACCACAAAAAAGUGGCCUAUUUUGAGCACUUGUUCGAGCCUUGGGCCACAUUUAUUGGGUUUAACCCUUUUAUUUGAGAAGGUUUUAUAGUUAAUGAAUAUAAAUUUGAAAUUAUUUAACUAAAAUGAAAUAAAUUAAUAUUUAAAUUAAUUUAAUGAUGAUUAGACUCACAAUAAAACUAAAUGCAAUAAGAAUAUUUAUAAAAACUUUCUAAUAUUUAUGGGAAUUAAGCUCAUUCUAUUAAAUUAGUUUUUUUUUUAAAUAUCAAUAUUCAAAUUAAACCAAUAUCAACCUAAAAUAUCAAAUAAUUAAACAAUAUAAAUUUAUUAUGAGUUCAAUAUAUAAAAAUUAUUAUUGGAAGAUGAAAUAAAGAAUACUAUUUUAAUUUAUUGAAAAAGGACAUGCAUGAUAUUUUAGAAUUUGUUAUAAAGUCUCCAUUGAAAACCCUAACUUUUGGAAGACAAGAAAGAAGGGAGAGAGCCACCGUUUUUAGUGAGAAAGAAGAGAAGAGAGAAAAAUGCAAGUUUUUCUCAUCAGGCCCAGAUUUCAUCAAAGGUCUGAUCCCACUUUGUCCGUGGUCCGAUCGAGCUGAAAUUUGGAGGAGAGUUUCGUGACUCAUUUAUCUUCAAUCUGAACGGUGAAGAUCGGAUUUGGAGUUUCGGAAAGUCAUUAGAAAGAAAGAGGAGAAGAGAGAAAAACGUAGGUUUUUCUCAUCAUGCCCAGAUUUUAUCAAAUGUCCGAUCCCGCUUCGUCCGUGGUCCGAUCGAGUUGAAAUUUGAAGGAGAGGUUUGUGGCUCAUGUAUCUUCAAUAUGAACGGUGGAGAUCUGAUUUGGAGUUUCGGACAGUCAUUAGAGAGAAAGAGGAGAAGAGAGAAAAACUUAGGUUUUUCUCAUCGUGCCCAGAUUUCAUCAAAUGUCUGAUCCCGCUUCGUCCGUGGUCCGAUCGAGUUGAAAUUUGAAGGAGAGGUUCGUGGCUCAUGUAUAUUCAAUAUGAACGGUGGAGAUCGGAUUUGGAGUUUUGGACAGUCAUUAGAGAGAAAGAGGAGAAGAGAGAAAAACAGUGGUUUUUUUAUAUCAUGCCCAGAUUUCAUCAAAGGUUCAAUGCCGCUUUUUUCAUGGUCUGAUUGAGCUGAAAUUUGGAGGAGAGGUUCAUAAGUCAUUAAUCUUAAAUUUGAACGGUGAAGAUCGGAUUUAGAGUUUUGGAAAGUCAUCUUUCAGCCAAAAACAAAACCUUUAUUUUAUCAAAGAUGGCGCUUCCUGAAAGUGUCAUUGUUGCCUAAGACAUACAAUGACAGAGGCGAAGAGGACGCUUUAGAGAAGCGUCAUCUGUUACCUUUCUUGACGCUUAAAAAACGUCAUAGUUUCCCAUUUUUCUUGUAGUGUAUUCUCUUUUGUAAGCUUCUGCCAAUUGAAUAAGCUUCAAGAGUUAGAUCUUUCUUACAACUUAUUCCAAGGGAUCCUUCCUCCAUGUUUGAAUAAUUUGACAUCUUUGAGGUUAUUGGAUCUCUCUUCCAACCUAUUCUCCGAAAAUCUUUCUUCCCCUCUGUUACCUAAUCUCACAUCCCUGGAGUACAUCGAUCUCAGUUACAAUCAUUUUGAGGGUUCAUUCUCUUUCAGCUCUUUUACUAAUCACUCCAACCUUCAAGUGGUCAAACUUGGAAGGAAUAACAACAAGUUUGAGGUAGAAACUGAAUAUCCAGUUGGUUGGGUUCCCCUGUUUCUGUUGAAAGCUCUUAUCCUAUCCAACUGUAAGCUCAUCGGUGAUCCUGGUUUCCUUCGACACCAAUUAAGAUUAACCGUGGUUGAUCUCUCCCAUAAUAAUUAGACUGGAAGUUUCCCCAUUUGGCUGCUUGAUAACAAUACAAGACUAGGAUCUCUAGUUCUGAGGAAUAACUCUUUAAUGGGUCAACUACUUCCCCUGAGACCUAAUAGUCGUAUCACUUUAUUGGAUAUCUCAGACAACCGACUUCAUGGGGAACUUCAACAAAAUGUGGCCAAUAUGAUUCCAAAUAUUGAGUUUCUAAAUUUAUCCAACAAUGGUUUUGAAGGUAUUCUCCCAUCCUCAAUAGCCGAAAUGAGUUCCUUACAGUCAUUAUAUUUGUCUGCUAAUAGUUUCUCAGGGGAAGUACCAAAACAAUUGCUUGCGGCAAAAUAUUUGUGGCUUCUGAAAUUAUCAAAUUAUAAAUUUCAUGGCGAAAUAUUUUCAAGGGACUUUAACUUGACUCAGUUAGGGUUUUUGCAUUUGGACAAUAAUCAGUUCAAGGGAACACUGUCAAAUGUAAUCUCCAGAAUCUCUAGGUUAUGGGUGUUGGAUAGGUAACAUGACCGAUUUGACUACACUGGUGUUGGGCAACAAUAGUUUUAAAGGCAAAUUACCACCUGAGAUUUCUCAAUUGUUGGGGAUGAUAUUUCUUGACGUUUCUCAAAACGCUCUUUUAGGAUCUCUUCCUUCUUUGAAGAGCCUGGAGUAUUUAGAUACCCAGAGAUUGAUACCCAGAGAUUUUCUCAAUUCCUCAUAUCUAUUGACUUUGGAUAUCAGAGACAACAGGUUAUUUGGAAGUAUUCCCUAUUCAAUCUCUAGACUUUUAGAGCUAAGAGGAAACCUUUUAAGUGAUUUCAUUCCAUAUCAGCUUUGUCAUUUGACUAAAAUAAGCUUGAUGGAUAUUUCAAACAACAAUUUUUCUGGGUCAAUUCCCGGAUGCUUUGGUCAUAUCGGAUUUGGAGAUUUCAAAACUGAGCACAAUGUGUAUAUACCGAUGUUGGAUUCGUAUUCAGAAAGCAAUCCUUCUAUAUAUACGGGUUACUUAAUAAAAUAUUUAUUUUUCUCUAGUGAACUCCCUGAUGAAGUAGAUGAAGUUGAGUUUGUUACCAAGAAUAGGUAUAGCUCCUACAGAGUAGAUAAAAAUAUUUGUUGGGAAUUUAGAUAUUUUUAUAGGAAAGUAGACAAGUAUUCUAAUUUAUAAAAACAAUGCAUUUCUUUAGUUUGGUAUAAAAAAAAAUGAAACGAUAGGUAUUGGUAUUUUUUUUAAAGCAACAAACGUUUUAUUUUAUUUGUAUUUAAGAACAAUGUCUUUUCUUAUACUAGUUAUUUUAAUUUUCUUUUGACAGAUUUUGCAAGCUUAAGCAAUUUGGAGAUACUAGAUUUGAGUUCUAAUUCCUUAAGUGGGAUUAUUCCAUCAUCUAUAAGAUUGAUGUCUCAUCUCAAGUCUUUAUCCUUGGCCGGAAAUCAGCUCAAUGGUUCUUUACAAAAUCAAGGUACAUAUGUUAUGAUUUGUUUGUUUCAUAUGGAUUAGAGAAGAUGAAUAUUGUAAAAAAAAAGUUGUAGUUAAUGUAAGCUAGAAAUAAGUAUCUUGCCUUAUAAAUUAUAUGAGCAUGUGUUUGUUCUUAAUGAAUCUUUACAACAUUUAGAGUUACCAAUGUUUAUAAUUCAUAAAGACCUCAUUAACCGUGAGUAACAACUAAUUGUAAGUAAUUGUGGAAAAAGUAAGGAAAACAAAAUGAGGGAAAAGCAAGGAAUUAGGAAAUUAUUUUGUUCCCAUUAAAAAAUGCUAAGGAAGAAAAAGGUAAAAGAAAGUUUAAAAAAAGUGUAUUUUUCAAAAAUUUAUUUCUCUUUCCUUUAAUUUUGCUAUGGACAACCAAACAAGAAAAUUAUUUUAUAAUUCCUUUUUUAUUUUUUUCAUUCUCUCUCUCUUUUUUCCCCUACUCUAUUUCUUUUCCCUCAAACUUUCUUGGUAGUAAACACAACCUAAGAUAAAAUGGGGAAGAAAAUUUUCAGUUUUUUUUUUAUUUUUUUAGAAUGUUUUCUUACUUUUUAGUAUUUUAUGCAAAUAUAGGAAAAUUAUUUUUUUUUCUUUUUUUUUCUUGCUCCUUUUCGGACAUGAAUCACACUUUAAAAGAAAAUUAAUUUUUAAUUAGGAGUUAAGAUAAAUUUAAGGAGAAACAGUGAAUCACGAAUAACAAAAAAAUAAGGAAAUUGAAUUUUUGAAAGUAAGUAUAAUCAAAUUGCUUCAUUUGAUACAAAAUUUGAAUAAAAAUUCUUUCAAGGAAAGGAAAAAACAUUUUUGUCUCUAGAUUAUAAUACUAAAUCAUGUAAAAAAUCUCUUAACAUCAUUUAUAUUCAUAUUUAUUUUUGUAGAUUUGAAAAAUUCAACAAUUUGGAAUAAACUUAUUCAAUGAAUAAUAAUUUUUAGAUUUAAAGAUUAUUAUUUAAGAUCAUAAAUAUUACCAUGAUUGUUGAUGUCUAAGAAGAUCAUAUUCAACAAUUUUUUUAAUAUGUUGUUUUUUUAUGGUAAUUAAUUGAUGUCUUGUAAUUUUUAAUAUUUAAUGAAAAACAUUAUUUUAAUUCAUCUAGAGCUCUUAAUUCAUGAAGACCUCAUUAAUGGUGAGUAAUAGUUGGCUGUAAGUUUGGAGUCAAAGACAUGUCAAGGAGAUGAUUAGUUACAUGUCUUAUUCUCUUUUGUAGGUUUCUGUCAAUUGAAUAAGCUUCAAGAGUUAGAUCUUUCUUACAACUUAUUCCAAGGGAUCCUUCCUCCAUGUUUGAAUAAUUUGACAUCUCUAAGGUUAUUGGAUCUCUCUGUCAACCUAUUCUCCGGAAAUCUUUCUUCUCCUUUAUUACCUAAUCUCACAUCCCUGGAGUACAUCGAUCUCAGUUACAAUCAGUUUGAGGGUUCAUUCUCUUUCAGCUCUUUUGCUAAUCACUCAAAGCUUCAAAUGGUCAAACUUGGAAUGAAUAACAACAAAUUUGAGGUAGAAACUGAAUAUCCAAUUGGUUGGGUUCCCUUGUUUCAAUUGAAGGCUCUUUCGCUAGACAGCUGUAAGCUCACCGGCGACCUUCCUAGUUUUCUUCAAUACCAAUUCAGGUUAGUGGGGGUUGAUCUCUCACAUAAUAACUUGACAGGAAGUUUUCCCAAUUGGCUGCUUGAAAACAAUACGAGACUAAAAUCUCUAGUUCUGAGGAAUAACUCUUUAAUGGGUCAAUUACUUCCCUUGGAACGUAAUACCCGUAUCCAUUCAUUGGAUAUCUCACACAAUCAGUUGGAUGGACAACUUCAAGAAAAUGUGGCCCAUAUGAUUCCAAAUAUGAAAUAUCUAAAUUUAUCCGACAAUGGUUUUGAGGGUAUUCUCCCAUCCUCAAUAGUUGAACUAAGAGCCUUAUGGUAUUUGGAUUUGUCUACCAAUAAUUUCUCUGGAGAAGUACCAAAGCAAUUGCUUGCAGCAAAAGAUUUGGGGGUUUUGAAAUUAUCAAAUAAUAAAUUUCAUGGUGAAAUAUUUUCAAGGGACUUUAACUUGAUUAGGUUGGAAGUUUUGUAUUUGGGCAAUAAUCAGUUGACGGGAACUCUGUCAAAUGUAAUCUCUAAAAGCUCUUGGUUGGGGGUGUUGGAUGUGAGCAACAACUACAUGUCAGGUGAAAUUCCAAGCCAGAUAGGUAACAUGACCUAUUUGACUACACUGGUGUUGGGCAACAAUAGUUUUAAAGGCAAAUUACCACCCGAGAUUUCUCAAUUGUGGGGUUUGGAGUUUCUUGACGUUUCUCAAAAUGCUCUUUCAGGAUCUCUUCCUUGUUUGAAGACCAUGGAGAGUUUAAAGCAUCUACAUUUGCAAGGGAACAUGUUUACAGGAUUAAUACCCAGAGAUUUUCUCAAUUCCUCACAUUUAUUGACUUUGGAUAUGCGAGAUAACAGGUUAUUUGGAAGUAUUCCCAAUUCAAUCUCUGCACUUUUGAAGCAGCUAAGGAUUUUUUUGCUGGGAGGAAACCUUUUAAGUGGUUUUAUUCCAAAUCAUCUUUGUCAUUUGACUGAAAUAAGCUUGAUGGAUCUUUCAAACAACUCUUUUUCAGGGCCAAUUCCCAAAUGCUUUGGCCAUAUCCGAUUUGGGGAGAUGAAAAAGGAAGACAACGUGUUUGGACAGUUCAUUGAAAUUAGGUAUGGAAUGGAUUCUCAUCUUGUAUAUGCAGGUUACUUGGUGAAAUAUUGGGAGGACUUAAGUUCAGUAUAUAAGGGAAAAGAUGAAGUUGAGUUUGUGACCAAGAACAGGCGUGACUUCUACAGAGGUGGCAUCCUUGAAUUCAUGUCUGGAUUGGACUUAUCAUGUAACAACUUGACAGGCGAAAUACCUCAUGAACUUGGAAUGCUAAGUUGGAUUCGUGCAUUGAACUUGUCUCACAAUCAAUUGAAUGGCUCCAUUCCAAAGAGUUUCUCCGAUCUUUCUCAAAUAGAGAGCUUAGACCUUUCUUAUAAUAAAUUGGGUGGAGAAAUUCCUCUAGAGCUAGUUGAACUCAAUUUUUUAGCGGUGUUUAGUGUGGCUUACAACAACAUCUCUGGUAGAGUUCCAAAUGCCAAAGCACAAUUUGCAACAUUUGAUGAAAGCAGCUAUGAAGGUAAUCCUUUCCUUUGUGGGGAACUAUUAAAGAGGAAAUGCAACACAAGUAUUGAGUCACCAUGCGCACCAUCACAGUCUUUUGAAAGUGAGACAAAAUGGUAUGAUAUCAAUCAUGUUGUUUUCUUUGCAAGUUUUACUACUUCAUAUAUCAUGAUCUUGUUAGGAUUUGUUACCAUCCUUUACAUCAAUCCUUAUUGGCGUCAUAGAUGGUUCAAUUUUAUUGAGGAAUGUGUAUAUUCCUGCUAUUAUUUUGUUUUUGAUAGUCUUUCCAAGUUCUCAGCAUAUUUGUAUAAUUAGAUACUUUUAAUUGGAUGAUGUUUGCAUAAUUAACUACUAUUUGUUUCCAUGGGAUAAAAAGAAAUGGGAUUAUAAUUGCUAUGAGUUGAAACUUACAUACUUUGCUCAAAUUCUAACAUCUUUUGAUUUUAUUUUCAAGUUCCGUUAUUUAUUAUGUAUUGUUUAAUUCAAGAUUUAACCAUAUUAUGCUACUCUUAUAAAAACAAAUUCAAAUUUUUAGGAACUUAGCAUUAAAAUAAUUUCAUAGUCAGAUUUUUAAAAAUAAAGAAGAAAGAAAAUAAUAAAUAAUUAGAAAAACAAUUCAAGGGAGUAUUAAAUUAUUAUCUUAGAAUUGUUUGGCGUAGUAUGGGAAUUCAAAAAUAAUCUUUCAAUUUGUUAGAAAUGUUUAUUUAUUUAUUAUAGCAAUGAUUGAAAUAUCAAUCACAAAGUAAUGUUUUCUUUUCUUUUGUAGGGCACUAACAUUUUUUCUUUGAUUGUAAUAAUUGAUAAAUAUAUUACACAAUUAUUUGUUUUAAAGAGGGGAGGGAUGACAAACAUAAUAACAUGUGAAAUAUUUCUAAAACUGUGAUGGGAAAUAAACCAUCUAAUUAGGGUGCAAUAUUAUUCAUUUUAAUUUAUAUGAAUUUACUUAUUUUUAUUUCCAUCAUAUUUUGAACUAUUUUUUGAAAUUAAGGGAGAUUAAAACAUCAUGAAUUUCUUAGUUUAAUUUAUAUUUUUAAUAAUAAAGCAUGAAAUAUUUAAAAAAAAAAAAGAAAAUCAUGAAUUUCUUUAAUUCCUUAGGAAACCAAUAUAUAAAAAAAGUUGAAUAUAUUAUUAUUUUAUAUCCUAAAUUUCUAAAUUUGUUCAUCACGUAUUUAUUUUUAUAUUAAAUUUAUUAUCAAUAAUUAUUUAUUAUAUAUUAUUAUUUUAUAUUUAAAAAUGUUCAUAAAUAAUUAAAAUUAAUAAAUAUAAAAAAUGAAAUAUUAAAAAAUUAAAUUAAAAAGAUUUCAUCAAGCUAACAUAUUUUGAUAAAAAAAAAAAGAGUAAAAAAGAAGAUGGGGAUAUUAUAGAGGUGGGGAAAAAGAUAAAAGAAAAAUCAUGUGGUAUAAUAAUUGCCACGUGUUAAAGUUAUUUUCUUUAAAAAUUAAUUAUAGUAAUGAUGAACUCAUUUGUCUUAUCAAAGUAAAUAAAAAUAAAUAAAUAAAAGAAAAAAAGAAAAAGAAAAAAAGUGGUGGUUGAUUGGAGGUUAGAGAGGAGGGUUUGAAGGUAAAUUUGGAAUAUUGAUUAUUUUCACUAAGUAGAUAUUUUGAAAGUUAUUUUCAAUGUUUUAAAAACCGGACCGGCCGGUCCGACCGGUCCAACCGUCGACCGGUCACCAUUCCGGUCCGAUCCGGUCAUUUGGACCGGAUUGAGAUCGAACCGGAGUUGAACCGCUCGAACCAGCGGUUCAACCGCUGAACCGGACAAACCGAUCGGUUCCAAGGGAACCGGCCAAUUCAAAUAAUUUUAAUUUUAAAAAAAAAAUUACACAAUAAAAAUAUUACUGUGGGUAAGCUGCAAGCAUGAAAGGUAGGAUUCCAUGUUGGGCCUGUCUUGUGACAAGCCCACACACCCACUCCAAUUACCCUGGGCCUCUUUUUUGAGCCCACAAGAUCAUGCCAAGGCUUUGCUGAGGAUGGCUUUUAUAGGAGUCAUUUGACUCCUUGUUCCUCUCAUAUUCCGAUGUGGGAUUGCAUUUUAUCAAUGAAAAAAAACAUAACAAACAUAACAAAACUCCACCAACAGAAUUUGAACCUUGGACCAAUCUUUAACUCUAGUCCACCUAGGAAACCACUCGGCUACAUGUGUUUUAUCAUCUAAUGUGCCAAACAAAAUAAUAUAUAUUAGAUUUUAAAUUUUUUUAUAAUAUUAAAUAAAAAUAAUAUAAUAUUUUUAAAAAUUAUGAAAUUAGUUUAAAUUUUCAUUUUUUUUAUAUUCACAUUUAAAUAUUAUACAUAUUUCAUUUAAUAAAAUUUAAAAUAUUAAUAUGAUUUAAUUUGAUAAUAUCAAAGAUAUAAAAUAAUAUUAUUGAUGUUUAAUUUAUUCAUAUAUAUUUUAAAAUUUUUUAUAAUUAUUUUUAAUUUUAAUAAUAUAUAAAUUAUAUAUUUAUUACGUCACCGGUUCGAUAGCGGUUCGACCGCCGGUCCGACCAGUGAACCGUGAACCGGUAACUUUUCCAGUUCGAUCACCGGUCCGAUUCUGAAAACAUUGGUUAUUUUGCCUGAAACCCAUAUUGUUUGAAAAUAAAAAAUCAAAGUUUUAAAAAAAUACAAUUUUUUUGAAAUGAUGCAUGAUUAUAUCAUUCCCCUAAUAGAUUAUUUAUUCCUUUAAACUUUACUUCAAAUAAAAUAGUUUUAAUUAUUUUCUUUUUGGAAUUAUAUUUAACAUAUUAUUAAAAAUAUAAAAAACAUUUUAAUAAUAUUGUUAAUGAGUUUAUAUAUAUAUAUAUAUAUUGUAAAAUAAUUAAAUUUAAAAAUAUUUAAAUUUAGUUAUGGGCUGCCCAUUUCAAAAUAAUAAGAAUCUCGUAACCUAAUUUUUCCAAAUUCCAGGUAAAUAUGCUAAUCUAAAAAUAAAAAAUAAAAAUUAGGUUUUUAUGCUCUCCAAUCUACCACUUAAGCAUCCGACAUGGCUAAAAUAAAUUACAAAAAAAAAAAAAAAAAAAAAAGGAAAAAAAACAAAAGUGUGUGAUCCUCUUUCUCGAGUCUUCACAUUUUGAGACACUGAAACCAAAUCAAAAUUAAUCCUUCAAAUUAAUUUUCACCUCCAAACAUGGCUAUCCGAAAAACCCUAACGUCUGCCUCCUCUUCCUCUUAUCCCGGAAACCUAAAUUCCGUGACCCUAACCCCUUCUCUUUCCGAAAACCCUCCGGAAUCGGAAGAUUCAUAAUUCUUCAGAAUUAAUUUUCACCUCGAAGCCAAACCCUAACUGCCUCAUCUUCCUCUCAUUCAUAUCCCAAAAGUAGCUUCAACAGUCAGGCCUGUAGCCAUGAAAGCCGUAGUGAUCACUACUUCCGGUGAUCCCCAAGUUCUCCAAGUGCAAGAAGUCGAAAACCCUGAAAUUGGAGAUGAUGAAGUUCUAAGUAGAGUGGACGCCGCUGCCAUUAACCGAACAGAUACGCUCCAGAGGAAGGGCUUGCACCCUUCCUCAAAGGCGGCAGUCCCUACCCGGGUCUCGAAUGUUCUGGAAUCAUCGAAGCUGUUGGAAAAGCCGUCGUUCGAUGGAAGGUUGGCGAUCAGGUAUUUCAAUUGCCUAAUAUUUUGAUUUCGUUUCUGUUCCUCUGUUUUUCUCGGCUAUCAAACACUAGGAACGUGUAAAUAAGGAGGUUAGUUGAUUGCGAAAACGGGAAUUUUUUGUUCGUGUCUGUGUUAAGGAGUCUUUGUUGAGAAUUUUGGGGAAAUUUAUGAUAGGUUAAAUUAUUGAGCUUAUUGGUUUUCAAAUUUAUGGUUGUAAGAAAAUUGGUCAGUGUAAGGUUAUGGGUUCAUUACCAAUUUGCUUAGUGAAAAUUUUUCCACAUAUUGUGGACCGGUUUGGUAGCAGAAAUAAGAACUGUGUUUUGUUUUUCAAAACGGAAAUGGAUGCAGAAAACAUGUUUGGUAGCCUACUUUCAGAACUUGUUUCCGAAAAUAUUUCCUGAAAAUGAAUUAUUUCAGAACUUGUUUUUAAAAAAUUCAAACACUUUAUCAAUUUAAAAGGUUCUGAAAUGGACAUGUUCAUGGUCUUCAUUUUUUAAAAUUAAAGCUUUUAUGAAAAAACCAUUUUCCCUUCUACUAAACAAACAGGCUCUAUAUUGUAACAGAUCGAUUGGCCAUUUCCUUUGUCAUGUUUUGUGAAUCAUGGCAACACUGGAAUCCACUCCAUUACCAUCUGUUAGUGAUUAGAAGACAAAGCACCAAUUUUAAUGAUAUCCUUUAUGUGAUUUUGCUUCCUCCUGAGUACAAGUUCAUAAUAUACAUGGUACAUGGUGAAUCUGUAUGACAGUUCAUGGUAUACAGGUGUGUGCUCUUCUUUCUGGUGGAGGGCAUGCUGAAAAAGUGGCUGUUCCAGCUGGGCAAGUUCUCCCUGUCCUAUCUGGUGUUUCUCUGAAGGAUGCUGCUGAGGUUGCAUGUACUGUUUGGUCAACUGUUUUAAUGAUGAGCCGACUGUCUGCAGGAGAAACAUUCCUGGUGAAUUUUUUGUCUUUUUUAUUUUCUGAUGCCUGAUAUAUUUACCAGCACAAAUUUACCCUGUUGCUGUUUAAUGUGUGUGCAUCAAUAUUGGAUUAGGGAGGUAGAAGAGCCAUGGUUCUAAUUAAAUCAUUACAUCAUCAUAUUCUUAUUUAGAUACAUUGUAUCCCACAAUUUCAUUGCAUCCAAGGCUAUGUUGUUUUUUAUUGCACGGUUUGUCAUGGUAAUUUCUCAACCCUUCUCUGGAAAAUUAUGUUGGAUGGCUGCUAUUAAUUACCCCAAAAGAAGAAAUUUUAUGUUGAAGUAAGAUGAGUAGCACAAAGAGUUACUUGUGGUUGAUCCUAUCAUCAAAUGGGCGAUUGAUGCACAAUCCAAAUGGUAAAUUUUUUUCCCCCUUUAUCCAGAUGGAAUUUUUAUGCAUGGUUGAAUAGUGAAAUGAGAGGACUGAUAAUAUUUCAGGUUCAUGGGGGUUCAAUUGGAAUUGGUACCAUCUAUUCAAAUAGCGAAAUACCGAGGAGCAAGGGUAUUUGUUACAGCAGGUUUGCCAUCACUGUUCUACCUCAUCUCACAGAAUGCUUAUCUCAUGGCACCAAUUCCUUUUCUUCACAUGUUUUCAACCAUUUUUUCCACCCAGGAACGAGGAAAAAUUAGCUAUUUGUAAGGAUCAUUGAGCAGAUGUGUGCAUCAAUUACAAGACUGAAAACUUUGUUGCAUGGGUGAAGGAGGAAACAGGAGGGAAAGGUAUAUUCUAUUGUAUCUUAACGAUAAUUUCAAUUGAAGGUGGAAUUGCUUUUUAUUUUUUAGUGCACCAAAUCCACUAGUCUGGAAUGUUUGAAAAGAUAAAUAGUCAUCUUCCACUUGAUUCCGAUUGUGAAGAUCUAACCCCAAAAAUGUUGAAUGACAGGUGUUGAUGUUAUACUGGAUAAUAUUGGAGGGGCCUACUUUUGGGGAGACAUCAAUGGUUUAAAUGUUGAUGGAAGGCUUUUUAUUAUUGGUUUUCAGGGUGGAACAGUGGUACAAGUAAAUCUUUCAGGUUUACUUGCAAGGCGCCUUACAGUGCAAGGUACUGCUUUCUCUGUAGAAGAUUUUUCUGUAGUUUUGGAGUUGAAUCAAUUUGAUUAAUCUCAUCCAAGUUCAGAACUGAGGUGGAUUCUGGCAAGCCAAGGAAAAACCAAAUUACCAUAAAUUCUUUUUUUUUUUUCUGGAUCGUUUUACUUCUUGGAAAUCCUGUUUCUCGAUCUGUUAAUCACAUGGUUUGUUUUUCUUUAUUGUCCCUCUUUCUUUUCUUGUUGGUACCAAAUCCCUAAGAUGUGGAAGCCAAGUGAGCACUUUCUAUCUUUUCUUGUUUCAAUCUCUCAUCCUCUUGUGCACAUUGAGCAAUAAGCUCAUUCAAAGUCCAUUUUUCCUUUUGUGUGUUGUAACUGAUUUUGAAUGGACUGAAUUGUGUAGGCAGAGAGAUCAAGACCAAGUGCACGAGUAUGUCUUCCGAAAACUCUAACUUUAGUGCCUUUAGUCUAGUCACAAGAUUAGACAUUUCCAUAAUAUACUCCCUUAUAUUCUCUUUCCCUUUAUACCGCAUAGAGACAAGCUUACUAAGAAUAGUGUUUGUCUCAACCUUUUCAUUUGCAGCGAUCAAUUUGCUAUCUGGUCUAAGAAUGCCUUGGCUCGAGUUUUCUCAGGUAUUGCACCCCUUAUAACUUUUGGAAUUGAGUGCUUCGUUAUUAUUAGACUCAUGCGAUUGGAUCGCUCCCAUUUUUCCAUAGUAGACCUUUGCUCAGCAGUGCUGGCACUAGUAAGAUCUGGAGGGCGAUCCUCUCUUAAUGCAUAGUCUAAAUCCAUGCACCCGAGCACAAUUAUAGCGUGUUCCUUCCAUUUCUUGAAGUUUGUGCCAUUAAGGGCAGGAAUGUUAUUGACAUUUGCAGAUAUAGAAUAUGUUGAAUUCAUAAUAAUAAAGCUCACAAUCAGCCACAUAAACAUCAUACAUACAUGAAAAAUAACAUCAUACAAGAUACCUAGUACAAACAUUAAUAUUCUGUCUUUUGACAAUAAAUAUUAACUUGUAAUUGGUAUCCUUAUACAAAAUUAAUUCAUAAAUAUUGACAAUAAAACCAAAAACAAUGUGCCUCUCUUUGGACUAACAUAUUGAAUGCAAGAUAAACUUUAUAUGUCACAUAUUUAUGACUACUUUAUUUAUUAUUAUAUUAAAAUAAUCUUUCUUUGGGUCGCUUAUUUUAAAUAAUAAUAAUAACAUGUUUAGAUAUUAUAAAAUAAAUAAAUUAUAUAAUAUAAGUUACUUUGGCAACUAACAUACAUAAUUCAUUUAUUUUUUGUUGUUUCCUUCCUCUUGGAUCUUUUGUUUGUGUUUUAAAAAAAAAAAUGUUUCAGUGAAAAUGGGAAAUGCAACCAGGCUCUAAUACCAUUUUGUGGGACGUUCAUUCUCCAUUAUCAUCGAACACAUGCAGGAUAUAUUUAUAUAUAUCUAUCAAUUCAUUCAAAAUAUGCCGAUGGGAAGCCAGAGAGAACAAGUUCUAUUUUUAUUUUGAAAACAUUGUUAUCCUUAAAGAACAAACACUAUUAUUUGGAUUUAUACUCUCCUGCCUUAGGGACCAUACCCUUUGGCUAUUAGGCCUCACGAGUCUUAGGCCCAUCAUCUAAGGCUCGUGAUGGCACUGGGCUCUACAUAUAAGGUGGCCCAUACUCUGGAACGAAUAUAAAUCAUAUGUAUAUAUAUGGAUAGCUAAAUCCUGAAUAAUGGUUAAUAUGAUGUCGGUUCACAUUUAUUAUAUCAUAUAGACUUCCCAUCUGAAGAAAAUCGACAACAAGUAGCUUUGCCAUUCUUAGUUCGUAUACAACCAACCUUAGCAAGGGUUGAACCCUUUUAUGCUUAGUUGUGCCAUACAGAUCCUUACCACCGCCUACAACAUGUAAUUGAAAUGAUUCGAUAAUAUCAUCUAGUGAACCAAUACCUCCAAAUGAGAGACCAUUGCCUCAGUAACUAAGACUCACGACUGAGAAUUGCGUGAACCCCUUUGCUUGGGUUGGAGCUUGACUGAUGCACAAAAUAUUCAUAGGCCUCUUCCCAUAACAGGCACCUUGUGUUUGCAACAUAAUUGAACAUGUAUUGAAGUGAGUUUUUUUGCAUCUUUUUGUAAGAAAAUUCUAAACAACAAAGAUUGCUUAGUGUGCCUGACUCCUCAAGGAAUCAAGGUUCAUUCCUGUAGGGCCAGUUUUUUCACAGUCGAACUAGAUAACAUGGAGAGUAUGUUGCAAUGCUUCAACGGGGUAUUUCUUAGGAAAAUCCACCUGAAGCUGGUACAAUUCGUUGGCGUACUGAGUUCCUAAAGCUCUAUUGACUUCAAUCACCCAUCUCUGUAGAUUAUCGGUGACUUUAUGCUCGGAUCCUGUAGGAGGAUUGACUUGACAUUCCACUAGUUUUUUCUGGAAGGCGAUUUUGUUUAACACCUUGUGAGAAGAGGCAGGGGAACUGGUCAUUGUUUCUUCGAGAAGAUCAGUGGCCGAGGAUGGGUUUGGACCAGAAUUGCUAUAUGGGUUUUCUUUGGGUGAACCAAUUAGUGAAAUAGGUGGCUAUAUAGCAACUAAAGGGUGGUCAUACUAACGAGGAGCUAUUAUUUCAUGCAUGUGGAGAGGAAAUGACUAGCUUCUUCAAGGAUAUAUGAUUAUUCAUCUCUAGCUUACGUUGACUAUCUCCUAACAAAUUUCUGCUUUGAAGCUCCCUUAGUUUCACUACAGCUAAUUGGCCAACUUGGUUUCAUCAUGUUUCCUACAACCUCUAAGCAAAGCAUGCCAGAUCACCGAAUCAGGUUCUAUUCGCAUUUUGUCCAUAAACUCCUUUGCCUAUUGACAAUAGACUGCCCCUCAAAAUUUGAUGAGAUAACAUCAACGCUGACAUGUUGGCCAUCCCCAUAAGCAUCUUUAUAGAGAUUGAUUCUAUGUUUAGAUAUUUCUCUCUCCUCAAGUGAGUUCAACUUUUCUGUAGCAUCCUUCUCCUUCUCUACUAAUAGUCUUAGUUGAACAUCCAACCUAUGUUCCCAAAGUGCCAGCAUCUCAUAUCUGAUGACAAGCCAACAACCUUGCCCUUGCUGAGACCCAAAUAAGUAUCCAGAACCAUCAACAUCAACCCUUUCAUAGGCCUUUGUAUUUGAAGGUCGGAUUGGGAUUGCUUUGAAUGCACUGGCACUACAAUACACAAUUGUUUCUUCUCCGAUAAAAACACCACAAAGAGGUGAGGGGACUGGUAUUAGCAAAGAAGUGUUGUUAUCUAUAUUGUUCUAAGCCCGAUUACCCUCAACAAAAUCCUCAUCCUCAUCUGUACUCUUCCAUUACAUCCCUAGGCUUUUCAAUGUGAUCCACAUGGCUUACAGGAAUCCAGAAAUACUGAUCUGUAUAAAAGUUGCUCUUAUGGGGCUCUCCUAGAAAACAUCCCAAUCAAGAUGAUCAACCUAGCUUAGAUGCUCAGCACCCCAAACUUACCAGAAAUAGAGGAAUAAAAAGCAAGGAUAGGAGCCAAAGUAAAAACUAAGGGAAGAGCAAAUAGGAAAUCAAGCAAAACAUGAAUGUACAGAGCCUCAUUUCAGGUGACAUCUUUGGGCUAAUAAUAGGUGGAAUUAACAAAGUAGAUAAGCAUGAUUGUUAUAAAUAUCAAGUUCAAGGAUGAAGUCGUGCAUCAGCUACUUAUAGGGGGAGUCAAGGAAACCAAGAUAAGAUCAAAGAGAGCAUGUAUGCAAAUAAACAGAUACGACAAAAUAGACCAAACAACUCGUGAAUAUCCUCCUACAAAAAACUACUACACGUGGCAAAAAGUGAUGAAACAAAAAGAGUUGGGUCCGCAUAUACAUAUCCUAUUCUAUCCUAUUCCUUCAAAUCCAAAGCAACCUGUAUUUUCAAUGGGAUUUGUUGUGAUGAAUUUUACUGGAUUGUAACAUGUAAAUAUGUUAAAAGAGGCUUGGGACAUUCCUAUAUAGUAACGCAUAAAGGUACUUCCAUUGUGAAGUUGUCAAAAUUGCAAAUUUAAAUUACAAAAUUUGAAAACAUAGAGAUGAAAGAUGAUGAAACCUUCUUUGAAAUUUUAUAUUGAACUCAUUAAUAUUAUUAAUUUUCAUUUCAGUCUAGGGGAAAGAAUUCUUUACUCUAAAGUGGUCACAAAAAUAUUAAAAUUCCUUGUCGAGAGAUUUAGACCUAAAGUGAUCAAUAUAGAAGAAAGUAAAAAUAUUCUAAGUGUAGGUAAACUUGUAGACUCAAAUGACUCUACCUUCUCAUAAAAAAUCCUCAAUUUUAUAAAUUAUAUUGAUUUCUUCAUUUGAUACAAAAUUUGAAUAAAGAUUUUUCAAAUGACAACACAAGGAAAGGGAAAAAAAAAUUCUCUCCAAAUCAUAUUAUUUAAUCACUUAAAUUAUUUAAAAAUAAAAAUGUUUACUGCUAACAUUAUUUAGGUUCAUCUUUCUUUUGAUGGAGGUUAAAAUUCAUAAUUUUGAGGAAAAAGAUGAGGAUUCUCAUUUUUUUUCCAUAUAUGAAUGGGAUUCUCAUUGUGUAUAUGUGGGUUACUAAAUGGCAAAUUUGGGGGCCACCAGAGUCUGCAAUAUGAGGGAAAAAUGAAGUUGAGUUUGUCACCAAGAAUAGACAUGGUUCCUACAAAGGUGGCAUCUUUAAUUUCAUGUUUGGAUUGGACUUGUCAUGUAACAACUUAACAAGUGAAAUCCCUCAUGAACUUGGAAUGUUAAGUUUGAUUCAUGCAUUGAACUUGUCUCGUAAUCAACUAAAAGGCUCCAUUUCAAAGAGUUUUUGCAAUCUUUCUCAAAUAGAGAGCUUAGACCUUUUUAAUAAUAAACUAAGUGGAGAAAUUCCUCCAAAAUUGGUUAGACUAAACUUUUUAGCAGUGUUCAAUGUGACUCACAAUAGCAUCUUCGGAAGAGUUUUAGAUAUGAAUACAUAAUUUGCAAAAUUUGAUGAAAGUAACUAUGAAGCUAAUCCUUUCCUUUGUGGACCACCAUUAAAGAGAAAAUGUAGCAUAAAUGUUGUUGAACCACCUUACCAACCAUUAGAGUCUUCGGAAGAAAGUGAUGCAAAAUGGUAUAAUAUCAAUCUUGUUAUUUUCUUUGCAAAUUUUACUACAUCAUAUAUCAUGAUAUUAUUAGGAAUUUCAACCAUUCUUUACAUUAACCCUUAUUGGUGUCAAAGAUGGUUCAAUUUUAUCGAGAAAUAUAUAUACUUUUGCUAUUAUUUUGUUUCCUAUACUCUUUCCAAGUUAUUAACAUAUUUUGAAUAAUUAGAGAUUUUUGUUUUCAAUAAUAUUUACAUAAUUAACUACUAUUGGCUUCCAUGACAUGGAAAGAAAUGCGAUGAAGGCAACAACCACUUUUUUUUCUCCUCUACUAGUGCAUGAUUGAUAUGAGUUAAAACUUGCACCCUUAUCUUUGCUUAAAUUUUCUCAGCUUUUGUUUCAAUUCUUAAUUAUCAUUUCUUUUAUGUAUUGUUUAAUACAAUAUCCUAAACACAUUGCUUUGAAGGUUACUUAUUUAUUAAGCAUGAUAUUGAUUUUCAUAAAAACAAAUUCAAGUUUUUUAGGAAUUUUUAGAAUUAUUAUAAUUUGGAGUUCACAUUAGAGGAAAAAAGGAAAGAAAAGAAUAGAUGAUUAAAAAAACAAUUUUAGUAAGUAUAAUUUGUCAUCUUCGGUAUAACAAAUGGGAAUUCCAAAAUAAUAUUUCAAUUUGUUAGUCUAUUCCUUAUAGUAUUAAUUGAUAUAUCAAAUAGGAAGUCACGUUUUGAUUUUUUAUUAGCUUGAAUUGCAUGUCACAUAUAUUUUAAAAUCAAGCAUACAUCAGCCGGGAAGUUCUUGUAACAUGCAUGAACAUGAUAUGAUGAAUUGAAUAAUUUUCUUAAUAUAUGUGUAUAUACUACACAUUAUUAAAUCAUAUAUGUAUAUUUAUAGUCGUAUAAUAUAUUUAUAUAAGUAACAAUAAAUUAUAUUGUAUAAGGUAUCGGUAGGAGUUUUCAAUUCCCUCAUACAAUAAUAUCUAUCAAUAAUUGGAUUGGACACCUUGCUGGCCAUGAGAAUGGACUUGACAUUAACACAUAGCCUUGAGUGGUGUUGAUAUUAUUACUUUGAACCAGAACUGCAGUCAUCUCAAAAACUAUAUUAUAUAGAAAAGCAAAAUAAAAACAUUAGUUAAAACAAAUGUCAAGAUCCUUGAAAUCACGUUUCAAUAUGUUAAAUUACCAUUUUUUUAAAUAAAUAUUUUAUAGGUUGUGUGAAUAAAUAUAAUUGCUAUGAAGGUUUCAAUUUAAUUUUACUAGCAAAUCCAUAAUAGGUGAAAAGACAAAACUACCAUUUUUGUUUUUUUUUCUUUAUUUACCUUUUUUCUCUCGUAACCUUACUCCUUUCACCUUUUUGUUUUUUCCUUUUUCUCAACUAACUAUUUUUUUCUUGUAAUUGUUAUUAUCAUUUUUUAUUAUAAAUAUUAUAACCUUAUAUUAUAAAUUUUUAAUUAUAUUUAAACUAACUAAUGUUGUGGUUUUAAUUGACAUGGAAAAGAAUGUGGUUAUACAUGUGAUUGUCGCCUUUUUUUUUUUCCAAUUAGUUAACUAUUGAUACAAGUUAAAAGUAAAAAUUGCAAUAUUAUCUUUAUGUCAAUUUCACCGAUCUUUUGUUUUUAUUUUCAUGUAUCAUUCCUUUUUUGGUUAUUUAAUUAAAAGGAUUAAAAAAAAAAAAUCACAUAUUCACAAGAAUAACCUUCAUAUUUUAAAAACAUAAAUUUUUAUAAAAAUACCCUCCAACUAUAAUUUUUAUAUGUCCCUAUUUCAAAUUCAAACACUUCUUUUAAUAAUAAUAAUAAUAAAAAAGGGCAAAAAUGUCAAACUGGGAUUAUAUUUAUAAUUUUCAAUAAUUAGAGGUUGUUUUUCCAAAGUAAAAAUUAUUUUGUUCCUUUGGCACAAAUAUUUCUUUCUUUUUUGUAUUUUUUUAUUCAAAAUAUUAAACACAUUACCCUCAAGGUUACUAUUUAUUAUGAAUGGUGUUUACUUUACAUUACGACAAAUUCAAAUUUUUUAGAAUUUUUUAAUGUUAAAAUAAUUUGGAGCUUAAUAGGGAAAAAAAGAAUAAAUAAUUAGAAAAGCAAUUCAAAAAAAUAAAAUUUAUCCUCUUAAAUUGGUUUUGUGUAAUACUAUAGAAGCCAUUUCUUGAGUUUGAUAUGGUAGAAUUUGGAUUCAUAUUUAUUUUAAAAUCAAGAAAUUCAAGUGUUGGUAGCAUCAAUAGAAUCUUAAAAAAUUUGCAAAAAAAUAUUUAGGUAGAUCACAUUUAAAUAUAACUAAUAGAAUAAAAAAUUAGUAUUAUUAGGAAGACAUGAUCAAUUAAAUCUUUUUUCUUAUCUAUGACACCGACUUUAUUUUUUUACAUAGUCAAUAUAAUUUAUUACAACUUAUAUGUCAUUAAAUUAUACAUGUUUAUAUUAAAUAUAAUAUAAGAUCAUUAAUGGAAUAAUUAUGCAAGUAAUAUAAAUUGUAUAUAAUAUAAAAAAUUUAAAGUCCAUCAAACUAAUGGAAUCUAUUAUAAUAAGUAGACUAGACACCAUGUUGGCCCGAGUUGGAGGCCUAGGCCAGAUUUUAAAGGCUGGGCUUUGAGUUGCCCGUGGGCCUGAGCCAAGGCCUUCUCUUGGUAUCAUCAUUUUGAAGAAAUAAAUUGCUGAUACAGAGAAAAAAACUAUACUAAAUAGAAAAAUAAAUAAAAGCAUUGACUAAAAUGAAGGCCAAGGUCCUUGAAAAAUAAUCUUAAAAUUGUUGCAUAUAUAAUUUCAAUAAUGCAUAAAUAAUUGCAAUAUAUAUGAUGUGAUAAAGAAUUUGGAAUUAAAAGAAGAUUGAUCUAUUUUAAAUGUGGUUGGAAUAUUUCUAAAUUUGUGAUGGGAAGUUAGACAGCCAAUUAGGGAUCCAUAUUAUUUAUUUUCAAUGAUAUGAAUUUAUUUACUUUUAUUAAUAUUCUUAAUGCAACAAUAUAAAAUAUGUCAAUUUUCUAAAAUUAAAAAAGUAAUUGUAAAAGAAAAUUUUUAAUUAUUUUUAUGAAAUUGAGUUUAUUAUAGCAUUUUUCUUUACAUAAAUUUCUUUUUUAUUUUUAUUUUUUUAAAAAUGAGAUAUGAAAAAAAAAGAUCAAUAUUAGUAAAAGUAAAACCCAAUAUAUAAAAAAUAUGAAUAAAUGUUUAUGAAAUAAGAUUUAAAAGUGAGAAGGUAAUAAUUUUUUUCUCUUUUAAUUCCUAUUCAAUUCAUUACAAAAAAUAUUUUUGGUUUUUAUGCUAAAAUUUAUUGUUUAUUAAAAAAUUCUAGUAUAUCUAGCUAUCAUAGAAGAGCUCCAAAAUUUUAUUGUUUAAGAGAAUAUGUGUUGCCACUUUAAAAGAUUUAUAUGCAAAAGGGAUUGAUAUUUUUUUCCUUUGGAUAUGUUUAGUUCCCGGAAAAUUUGAGGGAAAAUGUGAGGGAAGAAAAAUAGAGAAGAAAAGUAUAACGAAAUAAAAAGUGAAGGAAAAUGAAAAAUAGAUUUAAAGUUAACAAAUUAUUUUCAUUGGUUUUUUCAAACUUAUUUUACUUAUUUUAUUCUAUUAAAUAAAGAUUAACUAAUUUUAAUUAUAUUUGGUUUGAUUUUUAUUAUUUUUCAAAGCAAAACCAAAUAUGAAAAAAAAAACAUUUUUUUUUUUUGUUAUUUUUUUCUUUCCUUAUUACUUUUUAGGACUCAAACAUAGCUUUUAGAUUUGGAGCAUGGAAAGAUAAGAGUAUUGAAUAAUGGUUCUAUAUAUGCCCAUGCCCAUGCCCAUGAUACCAUUGAAAAAAAUGGAGAGAGGGUGAAACCUUUACUAGAUGAUAAAUUAUUCUCUUCAAUGGAAAUCAAAUAUAAUUAUUUUUAUCUUGUAUUAAUUGAAUGUUAUACUCCAUAAACUCAAAAUUAAAAUAAAUAAAAAAUUUAAAAACUAGGACAAUCCCAUUUUUUUUCAAUUUCUUAAAAAGAAAUUAAAUUAUAUUUAUUUAUAUCUAUUUUCAUCCCUACCCAACAAAAUAAAAAAAAAUUAACAAGGUGGGACAUGUAUGAGAAAUUCUCACACUAACUCUCACUAGUUUAUUUUUUUUUAAAAAAAAAAAUAAAAUCAAUUUCUUUUAAAAAAAUUAAACUACAUAAAAAAUAAACAAAUUUUACAAUUUUUUUUAAGAAAAGUAAAUUUCUUAUUUUAUAUAUGUUAAAAAUAAAUAUAAUCUUUUAUUUUUUAUAUAUAUAAUCGGGUAAGGUAGAGUGGGACAAAGAAAUAAUCCCCUUCGAUUCCAAUCCGAAUUUUUAAAAUAUAAAAUAAAAAUCUUAAACUCAUCCCUAAUCCAUUUAUUUUUAAUCCUAAACUUGUCUUAUUAAGAAUAAGGCAAAGUGAGUACAUGAAAACACUUCUUUUAUCAUCAUCUCUACAAGUUCUAAUGUUUAGAUUGCAAUCCAUAUCAAAGAUUUAUAAAGAAAGAACAACAAUGAAUUUCAUAAACAUUUGAAAGCAUAAACAAAGUUUUAAAUAAUAUUGCUUGAGGUGCAAAUAUUAUUUGGCGCACAUGUUGAGGGACUUCAACUGGUGUAGUCUAGGUUUUUUACACUAGUAAGUAAUCUUGAAUAUCUAGAGUAACUUGAUCAAAAUCUCUUUAAUUUUAUUUUCUUUGAUGGUUGUAUGAUGAAUUAGAAUGCUUAUAUAACAUGAUUAAAAAUUUUAAGAAAAAAAAACUAAGAAGAAAGAAAGAAGCAUCGAUCUUCCAAAUAUUGCUUCCACUUUAAUAUCUAGUAGGCUCUAAGAAAAGAACUUUAUUCAUGAAUCAUAACCCAAGUCGAAAAUAAAUUGAACCCAUUUUCUAAGUUAAAUUUUGAAUUUUUUACUAGUGAAUGCAAAUUGGGAAAAUGUAUAUAAAUAUAAUCAAACUAGAAUAGUAGAUUAGGUUUGUAGGUGGAGUUUGUUUGAAUUGUUGGAACUUCCAAGUCGUUGUGGGUCUAGUGGUCCCAUAGCUCUCUAUUAAUUUCCACCAUCAAUUUUUUGCAAUAAAGUCAAGUCAUUCCUAACCCUUAUAUUAAGUUGGCCUUAAAAGUCAAGUCAUUGAUCAUAGUUACAUUCAUGAAUCACAACCCAAGUCGAAAAUAAAUUAAACCCAUUUUUCAAGUUCAACUUUGAAUUUUUUAGUAGUAAAUGCAAAUUGGGAAAACAUAUAUAAAUAUAAUUAAACUAAAAUAGUAGAUUAGGUUUGUAGGUGGAGUCUGCUUGAAUUAUUGAAACUUCCAAGUCAUCGUGGGCCCAAUGGUCCCAUAGCUCUCUAUUAAUUUCCACCAUCAAUUUUUUGCAAUAAAGUCAAGUCAUUCUAACCCCUAUAUUAACUUGGCCUUAAAAGUCCAAUCAUUGAUAGCUAAAUCCCAACCCAAGUCAAAAAUAAAUUGAACCCAUUUUCUAAGUUCAACUUUGAAUUUUUUUUAAUUGGAAAAAUGUAUAUAAAUAGAAUUAAACUAGAAUAGUAGAUUAGGUUUGUAGGUGGAGUUUGCUUGAAUUUGUGAAACUUCCAAGUCGUCGUGGGUCUAGUGGUCCCAUAGCUCUCUAUUAAUUUCCACCAUCAAUUUUCUGCAAUAAAGUCAAGUCAUUCCUAACCCCUAUAUUAAGUUGGCCUUAAAAGUCAAGUCAUUGAUCAUAGUUACAUUCAUGAAUCACAACCCAAGUCGAAAAUAAAUUAAACCCAUUUUUCAAGUUCAACUUUGAAUUUUUUACUAGUGAAUGCAAAUUGGGAAAACAUAUAUAAAUAUAAUUAAACUAAAAUAUUAGAUUAGGUUUGUAGGUGGAGUCUACUUGAAUUAUUGAAACUUCCAAGUCAUCGUGGGCCCGGUGGUCCCAUAGCUCUUUAUUAAUUUCCACCAUCAAUUUUUUUGCAAUAAAGUCAAGUCAUUCUAACCCUUAUAUUAAUUUGGCCUUAAAAGUCCAAUCAUUGAUAGCUAAAUCCCAACCCAAGUCAAAAAUAAAUUGAACCCAUUUUCUAAGUUCGACUUUGAAUUUUUUUUAAUUGGAAAAAUGUAUAUAAAUAGAAUUAAACUAGAAUAUUAGAUUAGGUUUGUAGGUGGAGUCUACUUGAAUUUGUGAAACUUCCAAGUCGUUGUGGGUCUAGUGGUCCCAUAGUUCUCUAUUAAUUUCCACCAUCAAUUUUCUGCAAUAAAGUCAAGUCAUUCCUAACCCAUAUAUUAAUUUGGCCUUAAAAGUCCAGUCAUUGAUAGCUACGUUCAUGAAUCCCAACUCAAGUCAAAAAUAAAUUGAACCCAUUUUCUAAGUUCAACUUUGAAUUCUUUUAAUUGGGAAAAUGUAUAUAAAUACAAUUAAACUAGAAUAGUAGAUUAGGUUUGUAGGUGGAGUCUGCUUGAAUUUGUGAAACUUCCAAGUCGUCAUGGGUCUAGUGGUCCCAUAGCUCUUUAUUAAUUUUCACCAUCAAUUUUCUGCAAUAAAGUCAAGUCAUUCCUAAACCAUAUAUUAAUUUGGCCUUAAAAGUCAAGUCAUUGAUAGUUACGUUCAUGAAUCACAACCCAAGUCUAAAAUAAAUUGAACCCAUUUUCCAAGUUCAACUUUGAUUUUUUUACUAGUGAAUGCAAAUUGGGAAAACAUAUAUAAAUAUAAUUAAACUAGUAUAGUAUAUUAGGUUUGUAGGUGGAGUAAGCUUGAAUUGUUGAAACUUUCAAGUCGUCGUGGGUCUAAGGGUCUUAUAGCUCUCUAUUAAUUUCCAUCGUCAAUUUUUAUGAAUUAAGAUUUAAAAGUGAGAAGGGAAUAAAUUUUUUCUUUUUCAAUUCAUUACAAAAAAUAUUUUUGGUUUUUAUGCUAAAAUUUAUUGUUUAUUCAAAAAAUUAAAGUAUAAAAAUAUAAAAAAAAAUAUAUAUCUUGAUAUUAUAGAAGAGCUCCAAAAUUUUUGUGUUUAAGAGAAUAUGUGUUGCCACUUUAGAAGAUUUAUAUACAAAAAGGAUUGAUGUUUCUCCUUUGACUAUGUUUGGUUGCCAAAAAUUUGAGGGAAAGAAAAUAAAAAAAAAUAGUAAAAAAGAAAAAAUGAAGGAAAAUAAAAAAUAGUUUUCAAGUUAAUAAAUUAUUUUUAUAUGUUUUUUCAAACUUAUUUUACUUAUUUUCUUUCAUUAUAUAAAGAUUAAAUAAUUUUAAAAUGCAUAAUUUCUAACUAAUUUUAAUUAUAUUUAAUUUUUCUUUUAUAUUUUUUAGACGGGAUCCGACACAUGAAAAAAUCCUUUUUUUUAGCAUCUUUUUUUCUUUUCUUAUUACUUUCCAAUAACCAAAUAUAACCUUUAGAUUUAGCCUUUAGACUUGGAGUAUGGAAGGAUACUGAGUAUUGAAAGAAGGUUUUGUAUAUGGCCAUGAUACCAUAGAAAAAAUGGGCGAGAGAGAAAAAACCUUUAUUAAAUGAUAAAUUAUUUUACUACUUACUACAUAAAUAGAUAUUCAUGGAGUGCAUUCUCUAAAAAGCUCCAGUCUCAUGAAAAUGGAAAGAUGGACCGGCCAGUGGACCGGUUCGAGUUUGGAUUUAUGGGCUGCCUCAGCCUAACACGCAUGAUAGGCUGUUGCAGGUGAAGAACUAAUUAAUUUAAAGCCUUCUUCUAUCCUCUCCUAUUCCUCUUUCACUCCAAAUUUUCCACAUGAUAAUGACAAUUCUUUUGUUAAAUGGUAAAAAAAAAAAUUUAACAAUUAAUUUAAAAUCAUUUAUAAAAUCAUGAACUUUGGCAUCCUAAUUAAUGCAAUUUAAACUUUUUUUGUUUACAAAUGAAAUAAGAGGCAACAUAUAAACCCAAAAGUUAAUUUUCCUACCAUCUCUAUGCACCAUUUUAGCUUUACUCCAAUAUAUUUUCUAUGAUUAAUUAUUUUCAUUCAAACAAUAAUAUCAAAAUAUUUUAAAAUUAGACAUAUCAUAAUCAAAUAUCAUUAUAUUAUUAUUGAAUAAUAUUUAAUGUAAUUUAAUAAUCAACGUAUACUUAUAGAAUUUAUAUUUUUUAUUAAUGCAUAUAAUAUUAUUAUCAAAUAUGAUAAAUUAUAUAUAUAUAUUUCUUUAACAAAACAACUUUAAAAUAUCUAUUAUACUUUUAAUUUCAUCUCUAAGAGGUUUUUUUUUUUUUCUUUUUUUUUUUUACAUUUUUAUAAGUUUUGAUCAAUUGUAGGCUAACCAAUAUUUUUUUAUCAAAAUAUCCACCAAUAUAUCUCCGAUAUAUUAGAUAUAUCCGUAACAUCGAAAUACCAAUAUAUCCGCGAUUAUCGAUAUUUUUAUCCUUGAGGGAUAACAACUAAUAUAGUUUUUGCACUUAAUGAUAUUCCUCAACAUUUAGAUUGAUUUGACCAAAAUCUUUUUAAUUUUAUUUUCUUUGAUGGUUAUAUGAUGAAUUAGAAUAGUCAUAUAACAUUAACAGAUUUAAGAAAAAAAGGAUAAAAAAGCUCGUAUUUUUCAAAUAUUGGUUUCAACUUUGAAUAUUUUUAUUGGUAAAUGAAAAUUGUGAAAAACCUACUAAUGCUAAUACUUUUCACCACAUAAUUAAAUAUAAUAAACUAGAAUAGUGAUUCAUUGAUGUCUUAUAAAGACACAUGCCUUCUUUGACUUGUUAGUUGAUUUUUGUAGGUGGAGUCCAUUUCCAUUUGAAUUGUUGAAACUUCCAAGUCCUUGUGGGUCUAGUGGUCUCUCUAAUAAUUCCCACCAUUAAUUUUUUGUGAUGAAGUGCAGUCAUUGAUAGCUACUAUAUCAAUUUGCUAUUAAAAGUCAAGUCAUUGAUAACUAAUAUUCAAUCUUUUUCAAUAUGGAAAUUGGAAUCUCUAGCACUACUCUUCUCAUUGUUCAUUUUUAGGUAAUGUGAGAAUGUGUGAACAUAAAUGUCUUCUAAUCAACCAAUUUUUUUGAAAAAAACAUGUACAAAAUUGCAAAACUUGCAAAAUCAAACUUUCUUGUUGAAUAACCAUAGCUUGAUGGUUUUGAAGAAUCAAAGGAUGAAUCAUAAAAGGGUAUUUGAUAAAAAAUAAAAAUUUAAAAAGUUAAAAGACAACUACUCCCUUAAGUGUAAUAAGUGUAUUUGGUAGCACAAAUUUCCUACCACUUAUUAUUUUUUCCUUUCUUAAAAAAUUAUUUACUCUAUUAAAUAAACUAACCUUGGCUUAGCACUUAUAGCAAAAUAGGUUAAGUAGUUUUUAAAAUUUUAUAAUAUUAGAUUUACAUUUUUAUCCUUCAAAAUUUCAUUAAUGCUAGAUUCUUCUAUAUGCUUAACUAAUAAAUAAUUUUUAGCAUUUUUCUUUUCUUAUAAACAUAAAAAAAUAAAAAUAUUAUUAACUUAUUGGUAUAUUUUAAAAUUUUAAUUAGAUUUAAGCUUUUAUUUGUUUGGAUUACCAAUUAUACAUAUAAAUCCUUUGUUAUUAUUGUUAUUAUUGAAAGAAAGGGGUUGAAUAGGUAGUCCCUCAAUCCCCAAAUUAAAUUCUUUAUUGCCUACUUUUGGUUUAUUCCUUUACAUGAAUUCCUUGGUGAGAGUAAACAUUUCAUUAAUAGAUAAAUAAAAUUGAUUCCAUAUCAUAGGGUAUAAUGUGGAAAAAUCACCAGUCUCAUGUGUUCCUUAGUGGAUCCUUUGGAGCCCUAUCAAAGUUUCAUGAUGAAACCAUUGACUUUUGUUUAACCCAAAUGUGCUUUCAAGACAAAUCUUGAAAGAUUUGAGAGAUGGAGGUUCAAGUCUUUUAUGAACGACCAUGUUCUCUUAGGGUUCAUGAAAUUCACACCUUUUGAUAAAUAAAACUUAUCUAUUUAUACGUCUAAAACCCAGUAUUUAUUUAUUUAAUUAUAGAAAGUUUCUUAGUUUUAAAAACAUUUCAAAAAUCAUUUUUAGAAUCAAAUAAGAAUUUUAGAGAUAAACACAAUAUUAAAAUUUAACAAAAACAAAUUUUCGAAUUAAAAACACAAUAUAAACUAAAUUACAAAAUAUAAAGUAAUUUUUACCCUAAUUUCUUGUUGCAAAACCAAAUGGAACACCUAGAAGGGGAGUGAAUGGGUGAUUUUAAAUUUUUUCAAUAAUUAUUUAUAAGUUAUACCCAAUUCUUUUACCCUGCAAGUUGUUAGGGACUAUCAAUUCUUUCAUUUUGGCAAUUCAAACAAUAUAUCAAAUAAUAAAAAGAUAUAAAUAAUGAGACAUAAAUAUUUUUACGUGGAAAACCCCCCACACUAACCAUGGAGAUAAAAAGCCAUGGAGUCUAAGACCUAUUAAUCUAAAUUCACGGUACGAAAUCAAGUUACACAAAUUUAUUUGACAACUUUACCUUAAAGACUUACUCUACAGUACUGACAACUUGAUUCACAUCCACGACGUAGCAACCCUCGAUUACUCCAAUGGAUCACUUCAAGCUUACUAAAAGGAUGAAGGCCUUCAAACCAAGAUUCAAAAAUCAAUUCCUUGAAUGAGAGAUCAGGAAUGGUGUGCCACUUUAGGCUUUCUCUCUAAGAACUCUAAAAUGAUCUCCUCAAUGAAAACCUUUUAAACAAAAUGAGAUAUUUCUCCACAAUCUCUAACCCUCAAGGGGUUAUAAUGAGAUAUUUAUAAGCAACUAAGUUGAAGAGUUUCGGUUUUGGAAGGUUUCUCAAUUGAAUUUGUGUGAAAAACUCGACAGAAUCAACAUGACCGCUCGAGGCAGCACACUUCCCACUUGAGCGUUUCGGGCACUUGAGCGGUAAGGCUUGCUUGAGUUGUCCUAAGCGCUUGAGCAUUCCAGGCUACUUGAGCAAUCUUGCUCUAUUUCAAAAGUUAAUUUUAAACCAUUUUAAGUUCAAAACAAAAUUGAUUCCCUUUAUACCUCAAAGGAGCCUAACUUGCCACAAACCAAACUUUUUUAGAUAUACUUGUGACUUCCUGGUUGGACGAACAACAACUCUUAAUCUUCAAUGGAGAGCAAGUCACUAUCUAAAAAGAUUUAUAUGGUCAAACAUAAAAAAACAAAAAAAUUGCCAACAUAACAACAAGACUCAAUGUCCAUGCAUGGUCACCUGAAAGGUGACUCCGACCACAAUAUAAUGCAUGUUCUCAUAGAACAUGUGAACAAGAUGGGGAUAGGAAGUCCCCUAGAGAGAAAACAGAGUCUCCUAACCCUACUCUUGAAUGAUGAUAGGGAAGACAGUGUCCUGAAAAGCUUAAAGGUUAAUGGCAUGCUCAGGCUCGACACACCGAUAUGUGAAAGAAGCGUAAUAAUGGUCCCGUGCCACCUGGUAGUGAAAGCGCUCAACCGGAAGUGCAUCUAGGUUAAAAAGACCCUAGAGUGGGAUGCCCUAGACGGUUUCAGUGACCUAGGAAAGGUCACCUCCCUUUGACAUCUAUGACUAGCCAUAUCUAAGGUAUAUAAUAUGAAAAAACAAAAGCUAAAGAAAAUCCAGAGAAAAGCUAAACCACUAAAAAUGUUAAACUCAAUGCGUCGAACAAUACUAUACAAAUGGAAAUGAAAAAUAUGAAGCGAACUGACCUCAGAAGACAAAAGGACAGUAACCCAGAGGGCUCGAAGAGGAAUAGGAAAGAUUGAAAUGAAUAUGGCGUGAUGGAUGACCUUUAUAUAGCUUAUAAGAGUGCUUGAUGCAGAUUAGCACUUGAGCGUCAUGACUAACUUAAAUCAAAUUAUUUAUUAAUAUGGAAAUAUUUUAAAAGUUUCAAAGGAAGUAUUCAAUUUAGAACCUUUUUAGAAUUUUUUUGAAAGAAACAAAAAUAAAGCGUGAAAUAUUAUGUGUUAAAGGUGUUAGAAGACAAUAUUGUCUAAUCCAAAGCCUUACACAUUCCUAAAAAAAAAAAAAAAAAAAAAGGAAAAAGAGAGAUAUUAUAUAAGAUUUUGAUCACAUCUAAUAGAAACUAAUAUUUAGCAACAUAUCACCAAGCACUAUCUUAUCAGAAAGCUCUAACAUGUUGGAAAUUUAUGUAAGGUUCCAUAACAGCUAAAAACUUUUUCUGACGACUCGGUAAUGGACCAUUUGCACUUUAACUACAUUAUUGAAUUUAAAUCAUAUUAGAAUUGUAAUUGACUUCUCUUUUGUGAGACUACAUAUCUUGUAGGAUGGGAUAGGUGAUUCAUUUCAUAUAUGAAAUUUACUUAAUUUAGUAAUGCUUCCAAGUUCAUUAUGAAUCUAAUGGUAUCACAACUCCUUUAAUAUUUGUAAUUUUGUAAUCUUUGUUUCAACUUCUCAAGUCUAGUCAUUUUAUUGGCAUAACUAGUUUGCUUCAAUUAUCUCUCAACUUUAUUAUAAAACUAAGGGAAAGGAUUAUCACGCAUUUUAUAUUAACUUAACCAAACAUCUUUAUAUAUCUUACAUAUAUAUAUUUUUUGUAAAUUUAGGAAAAUUUCAUCCAUUAGCCAUAGUAAGUAAGAAUCAAAUAAGGGAUAUGUAAGCCAAUGGUGAUAUUGAUGGCGUCAAAUCAAUGACAUAGUAGAAAAGUGGAUUGUCUAUUUUCAAACCUUUAUAUUUUCAUCCAAUAGUAAAAAGGUUUAGGCAUCACUUGAAAAGUAGUUCGUUUUUUACCUUGGACUAUGAUUUAUGAAUAAAGUUCUUCUGUUGUAUACCUUUUGUGAUGCCCCAAACCUAAUUUAGGGGUAAAAAAAUAAUUUAGAAAAAAAUAAAUAAAAAGUUAAAUAAAUUUAAUUAAGGUAAAAAUGUAUUUUUGUAUUUAAAAUUCCUAGGUAUCAAUUAUAUAUUUCUUGUCUUCUCUAUUCAAAAAACCCUAUUACACAAAAAUCAAAUAUCAGAGAACAUAGGACAACGCAGGGUUGAAGAUUUGGAGGUUUAGGGUUGAAGAUUAGUUUUCCAGGUAAGAUUCUAACCCUUAAAUUAGUAUUUUAGAUUCGUUAAUUAGUUUGAACACUUUAGAUAUUCUUUGAAAAAUCUGAAUCUACGUUAGGGUUUGUUAAUUUAAUUUUUAAAUAAAAAAGAUUCAAAAUUUAUGAACAUAAGUAGAGUUAUUAUUAAAGAUUGAAAUUUUUUGAAUAUUUGAAUUAAAAAUCUAGAAAAAAAAAGAAGAAAAUAAAUUAUAGCUUUGGAUGUGGAAAAAAGUUAAUAUUAAUAAAUAAAUAAAACUUAUGAGUACGGAGGUAGAAAAAUAUGAGAGUUGAAAGCAAAGAAAAAAAAAAGAGAAUAAGGUUUUGUGGUUGUACGUGUCUCCUUAGUGGAAAAAAGAAAUACAAGGUUGUUUGCAAUAGGAUAUGACAAAGAGAGAGAGAUAAAUGCUUAGAUGUUGAUUUUUGUGGGGAAAAAAAGAUUGGGUAAUGUAGGAGAGAAAUAGGUAGCACUUGUAGAGUUGGUGGGGUUGUUGUAAAAGCUCGUAGGGUAAUUGUUAGGUAGUAGUAGGGUAUGAGAUUAAUUGUUAGGAAACAUUAGGACUUGAAAUAAUAAUAAUUGCUUCUAGUAAAAGUUUUAACUUAGUUUAAGUAUAUAAAAGAAAUAGAUGAUUAGAAUAAGAUUUGGAAGGAAUAUGAAUUCAUAAAAAUUUCGAAAUUUACUAAUUUAGAUUAUUAUUUUUUUGGAAGUUGAAUAUAAUAUAGGUGGUAAUAUUAUUAAUAUAGGAAAUGAUUAAGAUUCUCAAACCUACAAUUUUAGAUAAAUAGUUAAUAGUAAUAGUUGAUUUUUUAUUUUUUUUAUUUUUUAUUUUUUAUGUUAUGUUAAGUGAAUAAUGGAUUCUUUGAUUAAUUCUCUAAGGUUUCUAAGUGCUUCUUUAAGAUAAGGGAUAUUAAUACUGAUUUUGUAAAUGAAAAUAUUUCUUUUUAUAAGUUAUUUUAAAUUAUGAAAAAUUUUAUUUUUAUUUAUGCAUGGAUCAAAUAUAUAUUUUUUCAUGAGAAACAUGUUUGGGCAAUUUCUUUGUUUAUAAAUAAAUAAAUAAAAAAUGAGAACUUUGGAAAUAUAAUGUUUUGUUUUGCAAGUUUAAAAUAAUGAAAUAAAGUUUUUGACUCUGGUUUAUAUGACCUUAGUUAAUGGGUUAUAAUUGUUGACAUUUUCAGCUCUCCAAUCAAUGAUUAUAAUUGUUGAGAUUUUCAACCCUAGCCAACGGGUUAUAAUAGUUGACCUUAUAGCCCUAGUCAACAGAUAUAAUUGUUAACCUUUCGUUUUUCCCAUCUUAAAAAGAACAAAUUUAAGGCUAACCAUUUAUUUGUAAAGUCCCACCUAACUAAGUACCAUUUGUUAUUUAAUAACCAGAGUAAAGAUAUUUUGAAUGUAUUUGAUAUGAAAUUAUUUUGAUAUAAAUAUGAAAAUGUUUGGUUGAAAAGUUCAAAUGUUUAAUGCAUGUUGAAUUCAAAAGUUUUUAUGAAAAUGAUUAUAUGUUAUAUCUCCUAUUUGUAAGUUUGAUCCAUAAAACUGUAUUAAUAUUCCUUAUUGGACUUUGAGCUCAUUCCCCUUUGUUGAGAAUUUUUUUUGGUAUUCUCAGUUUGGGCAAGGAGUGAUGACUGGGUUGGGGAAUUUUCUUUACUAUGAUUUUGGUUCAAUCUUUAUUUUGGACAUUGUAAUUUAAUUCCCAUUUAAAUUAUUUGGGUUUGGAGUUAUUUGGACGAUAACACUUUGAUUGAUGUGUUAGUUUUAAAGUUGAGAAUUGAAAAUUAUAGAAUUUAUUUAUCUUUCUACUUUGAAUAGAAAUUUAGUAAUUGGAGAUCAUCCAGUUACAAGAUGAAUAUUAGAUGAAUAUUUGUGUCGUUUCCACAUUGAGUGUUCAGGCUUAGGGUGUGAAAUGACCGUUAUGCCCUUGGAGUGGGUAUAUUGUUUAUUUGAAUUUAAUGGUCCCCGAACUCCUUAAUUACUCAUAACUUUAUAUCACCUUCUCAAAGUUAAGUUGUUUUACAACUACUAUCUAGCUACUUUUCUCUACUAUGACAACUUUAUUACAUAGUGAUUAAUUGAAAGAAUCUACAUGUCUUAUUUCAUAGGAUAGUUGAUUUUUUUACUCAAUGAAUCUUGCUUUUAUUAUUGAAAAUUUCAAAUCAUUGUAGUCCAACAAUUUACUAUCCUUUGGUAAUUUCAUAUUACAUUUCCAAAGUCUAAUCAUUUAAAAACACUUGUAGUUAAUAUAUUGGCAAUUGCAUUGUGGGAAGUUGUUCACUUGAUUUUAAUGUUGAAACUUUCAAAUUGUUGUAGUCCAACAAUUCCCUAUCCAUUGGUAAUUUCAUAUCACAUUUUCAAAGUAUAAUCAUUUACAAAUACUUGUAUAUAGUAUAUUUGGUGAUUGUAGAGUGGAAAGUUGAUCGUUUUCAUGAAGACCUCUAAAAUAGAAAUUUUUUUCAUUCCAUUUAAUAAAGAAUUUCAUUAAUUGAACAUAUAUGUUUUUUUAACCGGAAAGUAGAGGCCACAUUAUACGAGGCCUUAGGUGACAAUACUAGGUGAGGGUUUUUUUUUUUAAUUUAUUUAUUACUAAAUAUAAAUAAUAUUAUUUAUUGUAUAAUAAAGAUUAUUAUAAUAUAUUUUUUAUAGAUGAAAAAAAUAUUAAUUGAGUUUUAUUUUUUUAAAAUAAUUGUUUUCAAUAAAUAACUUAUUUGUAAAAAGAAAACUAUAAAAUAUAUGCAUUUGAAAAAUAUUUAAUUUUUAUUUGAUUUAGUAUCAAUUAAUAUUUGUAAUAUUUUUUAAUAUUAUAGAAGUUAACAUACUCAAUCAAGAUAUUCAAGAUCAAGAGAAUAUUUAAGAUUGAAUUAAUUUCUUUAUUGUUUAUGUUUUAGUAAAUUUUUAUAUCCAUUACAAAUUUUUUAUUGUUUAUUUUUCAUUCAAUGUUUGCAUUUUUUAAUAGAUAUUAAAACGAUUUUUUUUCUUGUAUGUUAAAAAAAUAUUUCAAUGUCUUUAAAAAUAAAAUAUUGCAGUAAAAUCAAAAUUACAUUGUGAAACUUUAAGCGAAUGUUUUAUACUUAAGAAGUGCCAAUUAAAGUAAGCAUGCAUCUACAAUUGUAAUUUAGAUGUCAUACUGAAACAAUAGUUCUCUUUGACUAUAUCAUAAAAUUUGGUUCGAAUUACUUUAAGUCGUCUUGUAGAUUUUCAAGUUCCAAUGAUAUGCAUCAAGUAUGUGCAACAUACUUGAUAUAACUAAUAUUUUCUUAAGUAAUUGGACACUUUUUUCUAUAAAUUUACUUGAUUAUCAAUGAAUACUUUUAUGUAAGGUAUUGAUAUAAUUCGAUAAAUAUUUUAAAAUAGUAUUAGAAUAGCUUUGCUCUUUCCCAAUUAACAAAUUUACUAAAUUAACUUAUAUAUAUUUGUUUAUUUGAAUUUACUGGUAUUUGACUCAAAUUGUUAUUAUUUUUAAAAUUAUAGGAAAACCAUUAUUUAUAGAGUUUAAUUAUAUUUGGUAAAUUAUCUUUUUAAGUUUGGCUAGGAUUAGGAAACUAUUAAUUUAAGAUUAAUCCAUAAGGCUCUAUAAAUUUGCAGUUUUAUUUAGGAUUUAAAAAAAGAAAGAAAAAGUAAGAAAAAGUGAAGAGAGAUAGGCAAAGAGUGCAUUGGGUUUUAAAUAAAGAAAGGUUGAGAGAGUUUUGAUUACUACUCAAAAAGAACAUAUUUUAGAUAGUAAUUCUCAUGGGUUUCACAUCUUUUGAGUAUUAAUUAUGCCUAAAAAUGCUCAAUUAACAUGUUGUUGCCUUUGCAAGAGUUACUAACAAGUUUUAUAAAGUUUUGGAGUCAUUUCAAGUUAUGAUUUUAAUAAAUUGGUGACGAAAGAGAUGAAUUGAUUUGAAGAAGGCAAAUAAUAUUGAUGAUGAUCCAAAUGCAUAAUGAAAGAAGCAAUAUAAUUAGUUUGAUCGGGAUUUGCUGCUAAUUUGGAGGUAGUUAAGGUGGAGUCAAAAGAAGAAAAUGGAAGAAAUGACAAAGAGGAGCUUAAAAACCAAAUGUUGCAGAUUUGUAUGAUCAUGCAAAAAUUACAUGACUAUGCGAAAUGGAUUAGAGAAGGAAAAUUGACUAUAGUAUAAGGAGGAUGCUUAAGUUGAUUUCGCAUGAACAUGCGAAAAUUUUGCACAAUCAUGCGAAAUGGUCCAGAAAGCUCUCUAAUGUUGUUGUUGCUCCACUAAUUUCACACCACCAUGCGAAAUUGAUCUUUUCAUGCAAAAUGGCUGAAGCUCAUGUGAAAUCAUGAUUUUGAUGCUAAACUCUAGAUUUGUGAAUUUGGAAGGUUUUAGAAGAUCAAUGAGAAGUUGCCAAGUGUCCACUUGACCUUGGUCUAUAAAUAGAAACUUGAAUUUCCCAUGUAAAGAGCUUUGUGAUACUUUUGAUUUUAGAUUUUUCUAGGAACUCUUUCUCUAAAUAGAAUUCUAUAUUUUCUUUAAUUUUCUCUCAUUUUCUCAUUCGCCAAACAUGCCUAGUGAGACCAAAUCUCCAAGUAUGAGUGGCUAAAUCUCGUUUUUCUCAAAGGAAUGAGGAUCUAGAGUCAAGAUCUAUGGUGAAUUAUAGAAAUGAGUUUUAAUCGGAAAUGCAAUUUGAUUCAAUUGAUUGAUUAAUUGAAAUUUGAGGAUUUUUCUCUUCAAAUUAUCCUAAAUGACUAUUACAUUGCAAACUAGGUAGAUUCAUUAAAUUCUUAAAGCUAGAUUUAAUGAGACUGAAUAGUUGCAUUGUAUGAAUCAUUGGAAGAUAAUUUAAGAUGAAUUGAAUAUAUAAUUUAAAUUGAUCUCUUGGAUUAAAUAACCUAAUUUGAAGAGAAAUUAGGUUUAGACUUAAAGGUAAAUCUAAAAUCGAUUUAGAUAAGAAUUUAGGUUUUCAAUCUAACUUGAUGAAAAAUAAAUCUCAACAUCUAUUCACCAUGGAAAUUGUUUUCUAAAAAAUAUUAACUCCGAGAAUUCCUUUUCCUUAUCAAUUUUCUUAUAUUCUACAUUAUAUUGUUCUUUUCGAUUAGAAAUCAUUGUUAUUUUGAUUUUUCAUGAAUUGUCAAAUCAAUUUCACUUGACCAUAAUCAUUUCUUUUCCUCCCAUUUAAGCCUUAAUUAUCGAGAAUAAUCCAUCCCAAUAGAAGACACCUAAGACCACUAUACUACCGUAGCUUUUGCUAAAAAACCUUUUUGAUCGGGCAAGAGUUACCUUAGCAUAGUUGAAUUAGGUUAUAAUUUUUUUAUCCAAUAAACAACAAAAAAAAUCAAUCGAUCAAGUUUGCAUUGUGUAUUCUUGAAUUUUAUUAAUAAAUUUGAUCCCCCUUUUUGAAGCGAUUACACCAAACCAAGUAAAUAUUUUAUAUACUUCAUUUGCUUUAUUUUUUCUAUUAAGUUUAGGUGUUGCAAUUUUCAAGAGUCAUGGUGAGAAGAUUGUGGGAAAAAUUAUUUUAAGGAUGGAGUCGAACAUAAAAUAUGAAAUUGAGUCCUUUGAUGGAAAUAAUAAUUUUAAUAUUUGAUAGAGUAUUAUUAAAGAUGUUUUGAUACAACAAAGACUUCUCAAAGCAUUACAAGGCAAAAAAACUAGAGAGCAUGACAAAUAAAGAAAUGAAAGAAUUAGAAGCAAGAGUUGUAAGUACUAUUUGUUUAAGUCUUAAAAAUGAAAUACAUUGUUUUGAAUGAAAAAAAUAUUCUUUUAGGGGUGUCAAUUGCUCUUUUAGAGACCAAAAAUAUUAAGCAGUCAAGUAGUUCAUCUCAUAUUGGACAAACUGUUAUGAUGAAUUCUAAACCACAUCAUCAUAGGAGUAAAUCGAAAGAAAGUAUCUGAUAGGAGGAUGAUCAUUCCAUUCACACUUAUGGAGGAAUAUGAAGUAUUAUUACUGUGAAAAAAAAAACAUAUCAGGAGAUAUUGUAAAGAAUUGAUGAAGUACCUAGAAGAAAUGAAAAUUUUUAAAUCCCAAGAGACUUCAAAUUUUACUAAUAUUGUUGAUGAAAAUUUUGAAAUAUUGUAGUAAAUUAAAAGUUACAUUAUGGGACUUUUAGUGAGUGUUUUAUGUUGAAGAAAGGCUAAUUAAAGUAAACAUGCAUCUAAAACUAUAAUUUAGAUGUUGUACUCAAAUAGUUGCUCUCCUCGAUUAUAUCAUAAAAUUUGGUUUGAAGUCUAAGUCAUCUAAUAAUUUUCUAAUUCAAAUUGCAUGCAUCAAACAUGUGUGUUAGGAAGUGUUGCAAAUUACUAAUUAAUAUAGAUUCUUUUUUUUUUUAAAGAAUAUUGUAUUGAAUAUUUCUAGGUUGAUAUAUUAUUGUAAUAUUAGACUUUCUUAUAGAAUAAGGAAGGUUGUUGAAAAUAUCCCUAUAAAUAUUCUAGUUCAUAAGGGGAAAAAGUUAUGAGAUGAAGAUGGACCCAUAAAGACUAUACAAGGUGGAUAGAGACGUGAAGAAAAACGAGAGGUACCCGGUGGAGCGAGAGGGCUCGUGGUAGGGUAUAGGUACAAAGAGUGAGAAAACAUGGGAUGUUUUGGGAACCCAAUAAUUGUAUCUGGUUAUGUCCUCUAUAAGUUCUAGUCCUGUCAUCUGCAUUGUUCUCUAUUUUAUAGUGGAAUGAUUCUCUUUUAUCUGUGGACGUGGGCAUGGUUUUCGAACCAUGUUAAAACCUUGUGUACCGUUUGUGUUGAUUUUUUUUUUUAUCUUUAUUUUAUUGAUUAAUGAAGUUUGCAUCAAAGCUUCUGUCAACGUAACAAACUUGUAUCAAAGCUUGGGUUAAAGAUUUCUAGAAGAGUAAAAGAUCAUAGAGCACACAAGAUGAAAACAAAAGGAAUUUUUAGUGAAAAUGGAGUCAAUUGCUCUCUCAUGGUGAUAUGAUAUAAAAAGUUUGUGUCAUGGAAAGUUUGAAGAUUUACUUCAUGGAAUCUGGUCCAAAAUGGAGAUUGUUAAUAAGUAUCCCAAAUUCCUAAUUAGUUUAGAUUUUUUUUUUUUGUAAAGAAUAUUGUAUAGAAUAUUUCUAGGUUAAUAUAUUAUUGUAAUAUUAGACUUCCUUAUAGAAUAAGGAAGGUUGUUGAAAAUAUCUUUAUAAAUAUUCUAGGUCAUGAGGGAAAAAAGUUAUGAGAUGAAAUGGGCCUGUAAAAACUAUAUGAGGUGGAUAGAGAUGUGAGGAAGAACAAGAGGUACUCAAUGGAAUGAAAGGGCUCGUGGUAGGGUAUGGAUACAAAGAGUGGGGAAAUAUGGGAUGUUUUGGGAACCUAAUAGUUGUAUCUGGUUCUGUCAUCUAUAAUGUUCUAGUUAUGUCCUCUAUAAUUGAUUCGUUCCCAAUUGGUGUCUCAGCUGAUUCAUGUCCUCUCCAUGGUCCCUGAUAGUGGUGCCAUUUGAUUCAUGUCCAGCUGGUGUCCCUUGAUUUUGGUCUUCAGGGAGUAAUCAACAAAAUUUAUAACCUAUUACACCAUGUACUAGGAUAGCCUUAGCUAGCAUAGCAUAGUGGCUCUAGGGUCGUUCACUGGGAUGGGUUUUCACUUCACAAUUGAUAUUAAUUCAAAGAUGAAUUGGUGCUUUUUCAUUUCAAGGUUAGCUUUAAAAGAAAACAUAAAGAUGUUUGAAUGAAAAAGGUUUUGUUUUAAACUAACCAAAAAUAAUAACUGAUUUUACUUACAAAGAAAAGUGUUUCUUGGAGUUUAGAUCACUGGGCUCAGAUUCCUUGUACAAAAAGGGAGUUCCGGUCACUUGUUUCUUUUCCUCGCAUUAGAGAAUUAACAUAUAGUUAAUUCUCUAACCGGUGUGGUACAGAUGCUUCCCCUUAAUGGGUUCAAACACUAAAUCCCUCUCACUGAUGCAACUUGCAAUGGCUCGUGCCUCUCACCUAGCAUUUGCCAUUCAAGGUGAUCUUUAACCUUGGAUUACCCUUCACAAGCUCGCAAGAGAUAACUAAUGGAUGUCUCCUUAGAGUCCAAAAGCUUACCAAGUGUUGGCAAUUCUAGAAAAUCAUACCUUCAAACCACCUCCCAAAAGCUCGCAAGAGGUAAACCAGUGCAUCUCCAUUGACGGAGAUCACUUGCCUAACCAAGUGUUGGCUCAAGUGAAUUGAAGGUGUUUUAAGUUAACUAAAAAGAUAAAAACCAUUAACGGGUCACACUUUCUCUUCAUUAAAAACUAAAACAACAAAACUUCCAAUUUAUGCAUGAGGAAACUUACCCGGCUUUCUUUCACUCCAAGAGACGAAGAGCCUAGCCUCUCAUCCUCUGAGAAAAAAUCCUCAGAGUUUGAUUGGCUAGAAAGAAAACUAACGAGAAAACAAAAAUAUAUAUAAGAAGCAGAGCAAAAGCUCUGUUCGUUGAUUACAUAUAUGAUAUAUGAUAUAUGAUGGAUCCUCUUCUUUACAUUGGUUCAAAGAUAUAUAUAGAGAAGAUAUUUUCUAAGAAAUAUCCCAAUAAUAUCUUUGACUAAUUACAAGGAGAAAAUAGAAAUUUACACAAAAUAUCUUGAGAGAAAAAAUCUAACUUAGUCGGUGGCAAAUAUCAGGAAGCUUCAGGAGAAUAUCGCGUCACUGUGCAAAAAUCCGGGUAAUCUGAAAUGCCGGCCGCGGAUGCUCUCCGGGUUAGCGCUAUUAGAAGAUCCGGACAUGCCUGUCUGGGGAGGUUGAAAUGCCUCUUCUUCCAUCCGGCGUCAGGCGUCGGAUUUGAAAUAUCUGAUCAGAGGAUCCUGACAUGUCUGACCGAACAGAAUUUCAGAUGUGAGAUAUCCGGACGUCGCAAGGGGGACCGUUUGCGUGUACAAGGUGUAGAGACCCUUCCCCCUGAUGACACGGAGCACGCAUCGCUAUCCAGAGCAACUCCAUCCGGAUUUCCCAAGAGGACACGCACCGCCAUGCUAUCCGGCACUCGUGAACAUCACACUCCGGAUGAUAGCAUAUCCUAUCCGGAUAUGUUGUCUGGAUCAUUGACUAAAGUGAGCAAGCCUUACUACAGCCCACGUUCCGCCGCUCUUCCAAUGGUGUGUCCGGACGCCCUGUCUGGACAUCUUUUUCCAUGGAUUCCAAAGAACUCUCCUCAAUCUCGGAUUGCUUUGGUGAUAAAAAAGCUAUCAAAACACCAAAACUUAACACAAUUUGAUUAGAAUUGAUUGCAAGGGUCCUUAAUAUGUUAAUUGGGUUAAAAAGUGAUAACUACUACUCAAAAGUGUUUAAAAGAGUUAAUUACAAGCUAUGAAAUAACACUUUUUGAGUAGUAAUCAAUAAUGUUCUCUAUUGUAUAGUGGAAUGAUUCUCUUUCAUUCGUGGAUGUAGGCAUGGUUGUCGAACCACAUUAAAACCUCGUGUACUGUUUGUGUUUUUUUUUUAAAAAAAAUUAAUCUUUGUUUCUUGAUUAAUGAUGUGUGCAUCAAAGCUUCCAUCUACGUAACAAACUGGUAUCAGAGCUUGGGUUGAAGAUUUUUGGAAUAGUAAAAGAUCACAAAGCACACAAGAUGAAAACAAAAGGAAUUUUUAGUGAAUGUGGAGUCAAUUGUUCUCUCAUGGUGAUAUGAUACAAAAAGUUUGUGUCAUGGAGGGUUUAAUGAUUGACUCCAUGGAAUUUGGUCCAAGGUAGAGAUUGUUAGGAAGUGUCCCAAAUUCCUAAUUAGUAUAGAUUUUUUUUUUAUAAAGAAUCUUGUAUAGAAUAUUUCUAGGUUGAUAUAUUAUUGUAAUAUUAGACUUCCUUAUAGAAUAAUGAAGGUUGUUGGAAAUAUUUUUAUAAAUAUUUUUAGUCAUGAGGGGAAAAAGUUAUGAGAUGAAGAUGAGCCUAUAAAGACCAUACGAGAUGGAUAGAGAUAUGAGGAAGAAUCGAAGGUACCCAGUGGAGCAAGAGGGCUCGUGGUAGGGUAUGAAUAUGAAGAGUGGGGAAACAUGGGAUGUUUUGGGAACCCAAUAGUUGUAUCUAGUUUUGUCAUCUAUAAUGUUCUGGUUCUGGCAUCUAUAAUGUUCUGGUUUUGUCCUAUGUAAUGUUCUUUAUUGUAUAGUGGAAUUAUUAUCUCUCAUCUGUGUAGACAAGUUGCUAAACCACGUUAAAACCUCGAAUACCAUUUGUGUUGAUUUUUUUUAUCUUUGCGUUCUUGAUUAACGAUGCUUGCAUCAAAGCUUCUACCAACGUAACAAUGUGCAACAUAUUUGAUAUAACUUAUAUUUUCUUAAGUAAUUGAACACUUUUUCUAUAAAUUUACUUGAUUAUCAAUGAAUACCUACAUAUACGGUAUUGACAUAGUUUGAUAAAUAUUUUAAAAUAGUAUUAGAAUGGCUUUUCUUUUUCCCAAUUAACAAAUUUAUCAAAUAUAUACAUACACACACACACACACACAUAAUACUCAUUAGUAUGUCUUUUAUGAAAAAACUAUAUUUGUUUAUUUGAAUUUAGUAGCCAUUCAACUCCUUAGUUACUCAUAAACUUUUUAUCACCUUCUUAAAGUCAAGUCAUUUACAAUUAUUUCUAUCUAGCCUUCUCCAUUAUAACAACUUUAUAAGAUAGUGAUUGAUUGGAAGAAUCUACAUGCCUUUGUUGAUAGGAUAAUUGUUUUUCUUUUUUUUUCGUAUUCAAAGAAUCUUGCUUCUGUUAUUGAAACUUUCAAAUCCUUUAUGUCAAGUUGUCUUAUAAUUCCCUAUUCAUUGGUCUUUCAUAUUACCAAUCAUUUUGAAAAUGAGUUAAUUUCAUUCACAUCCUCUGAGAUUUGAUGUAAAUUCGCUUAGUUACCAAUGAUUUCAAAUUUCAUUAAUUAGUACCCCUAUAGAUGUAAUUUGUGUACAAAAUUUAUUUUUUAAAAGAGUUUAGGUAAAAAUAUUUUAGGUAUAUGUCUUUAACAAUUCUCUAAAAUAAAUUUUACUUGCUAAAAAAUAACUUAUAUAGAUAGAAUACAUCUACAGGAGUUCUAACUAACGAAAUUUAAAACUAAUGGUGGUUUAGUGUAUUUAAACUAAACAUUAGGAAGGGUGACUGAAAUUAACCCUCUAGGUAUAUAUGUUUAACAAAAUUUUUAUUGUUUAUUUUUCAUUUAAUGUUUGCAUUUUUCAAUAAACAUUGAAAAGGAAUUGUUUUUCCAUAUGUUAACAAAAAGAAAUUUGAACACCUAUAAAAAUAAAAUCUUGUAGCAAAAUUGGAGUUACAUUAUCAGACUUUUAAUGAGUGUUUAUGUUUAGAAAGACCAAUUAAAGCAAGCAUGCAUCUAGAAAUUGUAACUUAGAUGCAUCAAACAUGAGCAACAUAUUUGAUAUAACCAAUAGUUUCUUAAGUAACUAAACACUUCUUUUUCUAUAAAUUUACUUGAUUAUCGAUGAAUACUUACAUAUAUUUACAUAGUUUGAUAAAUAUUUUAAAAUAAUAUUAGAAUAACUUUGUUUUUUCUCAAUUAUAUUAGAAAAUAAUAUAAAGUUACUUAUAAACUUUAUAUCAUUUUCUCAAAGUCAAGUCAUUUACAAUUAUUUCUAUCUAGCCUUCUCCAUUAUGACAACUUUUAUAUGAUAGCCGUUGAUUGGAAGAAUCUACAUGUCUUUUUUGAUAGGAUAGUUGUUUUUAUUUUUUUAUUUUUUUUAUUCCAAAAAUUUGCUUCUAUCAUUGAAACUUUCAAAUCUUUUAUGUAUAUUACCAAUCAUUUUACAAGUGAGUUAAUUUCACUUAGGGUAGAUAUACUUAGCCACACCCCUAUAGAUGUAAUUUGUGUUUAAAUUUUAUUUUUUAUUUAGGUAAAAAUAUCUUAGGUAUAUGUGUUCAACAAUUCUCUAAAAAAUAAAUUUUCUUAUCUAAAAGUUUAUAUAGACAAAAUACAUCUAUAGAAGUCCUAAUUAAUGAAAUUUAAAAUUAAUGGUUGUUUAGUGUAUUUACAUUAAACCUUAUGGGGUAUGAUUGAAAUUAACUCUUUUACAAGCACUUGUAGCUAAUAUGUUUGUAGUUGUAGUGUUGGAAAUUGAUCAUUUUCUUGAAGGCCUCUAAGAUAUUGAAAAUAUUGCCAUAGUUUUAGACUUUUUUUUAUUACACCUAAUAAAAAAUAUUAUUAAUUUAACAUAUAUAUUCUUGACUUAAAAGUAAAGUCUCUCCAUAUUGUAUAAGCCCUUAGGUGGCAAUAUUAGGUGAAGUUUUUCUUUCGUUUAUUACAAAAUAUAAAUAAUUUAUUAUUGUAUGAUAAAAUUUUAUGUAAUAUAUUUUUAUAGAUGUAAAAUUAUUAAUUGGGUUUUUUUUUUACUAAAUUGUCAUUUCAAUAUAUAAAACUUAUUUGUAAAAAGACAAUUAUAAACUAUAUGAAAUUGAAAAACAUUUAGUUUUUUUAUUUAAUUUAGAAUUUUAUUUGGAUUAAUAAUUGAUAUUUGUAAGAUUUUUUAAUAUUAAAAAAAGUUAGCAUACUUAAGAAAGAUAUUCAAGAUCGGGAGUGUUUGAUAUUGGAUUAAUUUCCUUAUUUUCUCUAUUUUAAUAAAUUUUCACGUCCAUUACAAAAUUUUUGUUGUUUAUUUUUCACUUCAAUAUUUUUAUUUUGUAAUAGACAUUUGAAAAGAUUUUUUCCUACAUGUUAAAAAAAAAAAUAUUUGAACACUCCUAAAAAAGAAUAUUGCUAUAAAAUUAAAGUUUACAUUGUAGGACUAUUAGCAAAUGCUAUAUACUUAAAAUAGACCAAUUAAAGUAGAAAUACUUCUAAAAUUGUAAUUUAGGUAACAAUAAUAUAAAAAGAUAAUAUUUUUGAAACAAUAGUUCUCUUGGAGUUUUGGGUACGAUGGACUAGACUUUAUGUACAAUAGAUAUACAAACUUUCCAUUAACAUCUUGAGAGACAUGAUGAGGAGCAAAGUCAUCCAAGAAGGUACCAUAGAGGUACCUUAGCUCCAUUCAUCUAGACUACAUAAUGUUUAAAGAUCAAAUUCAAUGACUAGAUUUCAAAAAUCAAUAUAAGCUUUCUCAUAUUCUACUCUAUAUAAGACAAUGGUAUGAUACCUCUCUUGUGUCGUAGAAUGCACCAUGAAAACCUUAUCAUUUUAACAUCAGUUUGAAACUUAAAAGUCACUUAGCACAUUCUAGUUAUUAAUCUAAGAGCAUUAAAAGAAAAUAUAAAAAAAGUUACUUUAUCCUUGUGAUUUUGAUUUAGGACUUUUAAUGAUAUUAAAAAAAAAAAACAAAACAGAAAAAUAAAUGGAAAUAAAAUCAACAAAUUAAACAAUUGAAUUAAGUUAGUUUAAUUCUUGCAUCGUUAAAUGGGUAAAUAAAGACUCUUAGAUUUGAUAUUAAUAUGAACAUCAUGACUUCAGUGAAUCUUACAAGAAAAUUUUAGUUUGAAAGACUUCAUUCAUUAAACGUGUGGCACAUAUUAAAGUAAAACUAAGUCUUCUCUAUAAUUUGUACCUAUCAUAGUUUCUUUCCUUAUAAAUAGCCUUUUUUGAAUAUAAUAUAGACUUCAACAUGCAUGGUGGGGCCAAUCAAACUACUAGUCAAGACAACUCAUGGGCAACAACGAUGUACCAACUACAUUUAAAUACUCUUCAUCUAUUUACAUAUCAAGAGUAAUUUAGUAGUGUCUUAUUUAUGUACCUCAUAUCUAGACUUUCAAUGGAGAGUUCUUCAUCUAAAAAUUUGACUUGGGUUUUCAUACUAGUUUUGGUUUAGACAUGUGGAUGCAAAGGUUGCAUCAAAGAAGAGAAGUAGGCUAAAUCAUCUUACAAAUUUUAUAGUUCAAAUUAGAUGCACCAAACAUAUGCAACAUAUUUGAUAUAACUAAUAUUUUCUUAAGUAAUUGAAUACAAUUUUUUUUUUAAAUUUACUUGAUUAUUAAUGAAUAACUACAUGUAUGGUAUUGACACAACAUGAUAAAUCUUUUAAAAUAGUAUUAGAAUAACUUUGCUAAAAAAAAGUAAAAAUAAAAAUAAAAAUACAUCUAUAUAUAAAAUUAAAUUAAAUUAAAAAUUAAAAAAGAAUAUAUAUUCUCUGUGUGUGUGUGUGUGCAUGGUCCCACAACUCAUUAGCUACUCAUAAGCUUUAUAUCACUUUCUCAAAGUCAAGUCAUUUUGUAAUUAUUUCUAUCUAGCCUUCUCCAUUACGACAACUGUAUAGGAUAUUGAUUGGUUGGAAAAAUCUUCAUGUCUUUUUUUAUAAGAUAGUUUUUUUAUUAUUAUUAUUAUUCAAAGAAUUUGCUUUUAUUAUUGAAACUUUCAAAUCCUUUAUGUCUAGUGGUCCUACAAUUCCCUAUUCAUUGGUAUUUCAUAUUACCAAUCAUUUUACAAAUAAGUUUAUUUCACCCGGUAAAUAUACUUAACUACUAAUGGUUUCAAAUUUAAUUGAUUAACACACUUAUAGAUGUAAUUUGUUUUUAAAUUUUAUUUUUUUAGAAGAAUUGUAGGUAAAAAUGUUUUAGGAAUAUGUGUUCAAUAAUUCUCUAAAAACAAUUUAUAUAGAUGGAAUACAUUCAUGUAAGUUCCAACUAAUGAAAUUUAAAACUAAUGACAAUUUAAUGUAUUUGCACUAAAUCUUAGGGGAGGUGUACUAAAACUAGCCCUUUUACAAAUAUUUGAUAUGAAAUUAAUUAAUUAAUUUUUUCUAUUUAAAUAAAUUUUUGCAUCCAUUAAUAAAAUUUUAUUGUUUAUUUUUCACUUCAAUAUUUUUAUUUUGUAAAAUAAAUAGAAAUAAAAUCAACAAAUUAAAAAAUUGAAUUAAGUUAGUUUAAUUUUGCCACCUUUAAAUUGGUAAAUGAAGACUCUUAUAUUUGAUAUUAACAUGAACAUCAUGACUUUAUUGAAUCUCACAAGAAAAUUUUAGUUUGAAAGAUUUUAUCCUUUAAACAUGUGACACAUAUUAAAGUGAGACCAAGUCUUCCCUAUAAUUUGUAUCUAUCACAAUUUCUUUCCUAAUGAAUAGCCUUUUUGAAUAGAAUAUAGACUUUAGCAUGCAUGGUGGGGCCUAGCUAUCAAACUACUAGUCAAAACAACUCAUGGGCAAGAAUGAUGUACCAACUAGAUUAAGUAUUCUCCAUCUAUUUGCAUAUCAAGAGUAAUUUAGUAGUAUCUUUCUUGUGUACCUCAUUUCUAGACUUUCAAUGGAGAGUUUUUUAUCUUAAAAUUUGACGUGGGUUUUCAUACUAGUCUUGGUUCAGAUAUGUGAAUGCAAAGGUUGCAUCAAAGAAGAGAAGUAGGCUAAGUCAUCUUACAAAUUUUCAAGUUCAAAUUAGAUGCAUCGAACAUGUGCAACAUAUUUGAUAUAACUAAUAUUUUACCAAGCAACUAAAUACUUUAUAUAUAUAUAUAAAUUUAUUGAUGAUCAAUGAAUACCUACAUGUAUGGUAUUGACACAGUUUGAUAAAUCUUUUAAAAUAGUAUUAGAAUAACUUUGCUAAAAAAAGUAAAAAUAAAAUAAAAUAAAAUAUAUAUAUAUAUAUAUAUAUAAAUAAACAAAAUAAAAAAUUUAAAAAGAAUAUAUAUAUUAGUGGUCCCACAACUCAUUAGCUACUCAUAAGCUUUAUAUCAUUUUCUUAAAGUCAAGUCAUUUACAAUUAUUUCUAUAUAGCCUUCUCCAUUGCGACAACUGUACAAUAUAUUAAUUGAUUGAAAAAAUCAUCAUGUCUUUUUUGAUAGGAUAGUUUUUUUUUUAUUCAAAGAACUUUCAAAUUCUUUAUGUCUAGUGGUCCUACAAUUCCCUAUUCAUUGGUAUUUCAUAUUACCAACCAUUUUACAAAUAAGUUAAUUUCACUCGAUAAAUAUACUUAACCACCAAUGGUUUCCAAUUUGUAGCAUUCUUAUAGAUGUAGUUUGUUUUUAAAUUUUAUUUUUUAGAAGAAUUGUAGGUAAAAAUAUUUUAGCUAUAUAUGUUCAACAAUUCUCUAAAAACAAUUUAUAUAGAUGGAAUACGUUCAUGGAAGUUCCAACUAAUGAAAUUUAAAACCAAUGAUGAUUUAAUGUAUUUGUACUAAAUCUUAGGGAGUGUGGACUAAAAUUAGCCCUUUUACAAAUAUUUAUAACUAGUAUAUUUGUAGUUGUGGUAUUGGAAGUUGAUCAUUUUCUUAAAAGGUUUACCAUUGAAGUUAGUUGAAUAUAAAGUUAGGUGAACUUUACCAUUGUUAAAUUGGUAAAUGAAGACUCUUAGAUUUGAUACUAACAUGUACAUCAUGACUUCAUUGAAUCUCUCACAAGGAAAUUUUAGUUUGAAAGACUUCAUCUUUUAAACAUGUGGCACAUAUUAAAGUGAGACCAAGUCUUCCCUAUAAUUUGUAUCUAUCACAAUUUCUUUCCUCAUAAAUAGCCUUUUUGAAUAGAAUUAAUAUAGACUUUAGCAUGCAUGAUGGGCCCUAUCAAACUAUUAGUCAAGAUAAUUUGUAGGUAAGAACGAUGGACCAACUAUAUUAAAUACUCUUCAUCUAUUUGCAUAUCAAGAGCAACUUAAUAUUGUCUUUCUUUUGUACUUCAUGUUUGAACUUUCAAUGGAGAGUUUGUCAUCUAAAUAUUUGAUGUGGGUUUUUAUACUACUCUUGGUUCAAAUAUGUGGAUGCAAAGGUUGCAUCGAAGAAGAGAAGAUGGGUUUGCUUGAAUUCAAGGCUUUUCUUAAAUUGAAUAAUGAGCAUGCAGAUUUUCUUCUCCCUUCAUGGAUAGAUAACAACACUAGUGAAUGUUGUAAUUGGGAGCGGGUUAUUUGCAAUCCCACCACAGGUCGAGUUAAGAAGCUUUUCUUCAAUGAUAUAACGCGACAACACUUGGAAGACAAUUGGUACUAUUACGAAAAUGUCAAAUUCUGGUUACUAAAUGUCUCCUUAUUCCUUCCUUUUGAAGAACUUCACCAUCUAAACUUGUCUGCAAACUCAUUUGAUGGGUUUAUUGAGAAUGAAGGUAUGUUACCUCUCACCUUUAAAUUUUCUUUUCACUUAUACUCCAAACAUUCUAAAGGAACUACUAGCAUAUGUUCUUAAAAGUGUUCAGGUGGAGAACAAAUGGUCACUAGUAACUAUUGAAUUUAAUAUAAGAACAAUUACUAAUUAUUAAAAUUUAUAAUGUAAAUUAACAUUUAAACAGAACAAUAAAAAAAUUAUUAUUUUAGAAAACUAUAGAUUACAUUAGCCUUAUAUAUAUAAGCAUACUUGUUAUUUAUGUCAUCAUUUCACACUCAACCCAAUAAGUGGGAUUCAACUAAGAGUGAGCAAUUUCACAAUUAUUAAUUAACAGGAACACUUAGGCUCCCAUAUCCUUAUCAUUUUUGCUGAAUUGUCUUUCCUUAUCUUCCAUUCCUAAAAAGCUUGAUUUCUAUAUUCCAAAUUGAUAGAGAUUGGUUAAAGAAAGGUGAUCACAAAAUUUGACUAUUGCUUUCAAAUGAGGAAUCACCAUCUUCAAAAUUUCACAUUUACAAAAAAAAUAAAUAAAAUAAAUAAAUAAAUAAAACUAGCCUCGGGUAAGGUCCAAGCCUUAUUGUUUUAAGCUGAUGUCAGAUUGGUUUAAUAAUGAACAGAGUAAAUCCUAACCCAUGACCAUCUACGCAUUUCCAAAUUCCACCCAUCCACAACCCAUUAAUAUGACAUUUUCAGGGACAAAAUUUAAUCAAUUAAACCUAUUAGAUGGAUUCUCCAUACAAUGUUAAAAUGAAUAUAAAAACUUUAAUUCAAAAAAUAAUUUCCUUUAUUUAGUUAGGAUUCAAAUUAUAGGGGCACAAAACAUGAAAAUUUUCAUGUUUAAAAUUCACAAAGAUCACAAAAGCUCUUUGAAGCUCUAUGGACUUUUUUAUUUCUAACAUUUAAACACAAAAAUCACCAAAUUUAAUUAGAGAUUUGGAUGCAUAUUCUUAUAUUAAAGACAUGUAAGCUUACAUAUUUAAAUAUGAAGAUCUCAACUUGUAAUUACAUGCUUCUAAUUAAAGUUAUAUUACUCUAUUUUACAGGAUUUAAAGGGUUAUCAAGUUUAAAGAAAUUGGAGAUCUUGGACAUAAGUGGUAAUGAGUUUGACAAAAGUGCCUUAAAAUCUUUGGGCACAAUAACAUCACUCAAGACAUUGGCUAUUUGCAGCAUGGGACUGAAUGGAUCUUUUUCCAUUCGAGGCAUGUUAUAUGUCCACAUUGUUUCUUUGAAAUUAAGUAAAAUAUAUUUCUAACUUUUAAUGUUCCUUAGUUAAUCUCUCUUUUGAUUCAUGUUUGUUGCAGACUUAGCUAGUUUGAGAAAUUUGGAAGUGUUGGAUCUAAGCUAUAAUCAUUUGGAAAGCUUUCAACUAUUGCAAGGUACUUCAUUAACUUGCUAAAAAAACUUACGAUAUUUUGUUAUUAAAUUAAAGGUAAGAUUAACAAACAAUUUCUUCUCAUUAGUUACUUUUCUUUGUAAUAUCAUUAAAUUUGAUAUAAUGUAGUCUAAAUCAUCCUUUCAAUUUAUAAGUUUUAAUUAAAACGCAUCAAGCAUGCACAAGAUGUUUAAUAUAACUAAUAUUUUCAUAAGUAAUUGAAUUUUUUUUAUGAAUUAAUUAACUUGAUUAUCAAUAAAUGCUUACAUGUAUAAGAUUAAUAUAGUUUCAUAAGUAUUUUAAAAUUGUCUUACAACACACACACACACACACAAGGAAAAUGAAAGGUAUGUGAUACCUUUAUGCUAUGUUUGGUUCUCAAAAAAAAUUGAGGGAAAAUGAAAGGAGAAAAAAAUAGAGAGGAAAAGUAAAAGAAAAGAAAAGAAAAAAAGUGAAGAAAAAUAUAAAAUUGAUUAAAGUAAAUACAUUAUUUUUAUAUGUUACUUUAACUUGUUUCACUUAUUUUAAUUCUUCAAUGUAAAGAUGAAAGAUUUGAAAAUGCAUAAGUUUCUAAUUAUUUUUUUAUUUUAUUUUAUAGUUUUUACAAUACAACCAAACAUAAUAAAAUCAUUUUCUUUAAUUUUUUUUCUUUUCUUAAUACUUUUCACGAACCCUUAAGUUAUGUUUGGUUUGCAGAAAAUAUGAGGAACAGAAAAUAGAAAAGAAAAUUAAAAGGAAAGAAAAAGUGAAGUAAAAUAAAAAUAAAUUUAAAUUUAAUAAAUUAUUUUUAUAUGCUACUUUAAACUUAUUUCACUUAUUUUAAAUUAUUUAAACUCAUUUCUAAUAAAUAAUAAUGGAAAUUGUAGAGAAGUUUGUGUUAUUCAAGCUUUGCAAUGACUUUUCAAGGUGAAGGAAAAUAUUCUUGCUGAAAUUGAAGAAGGAAAUACCUUCUUAAAUAGCCUAUUGACCGAAAACACAUUACCCUAACAUAUACACACACCUUUAUUAUUUAUACAAUCAUUUAAUACUUAAUCCCGUUAGUGGGAUUCUAGUGGUUGUUUCUAUCUUGGUUUCCAAUAUUUCUGAUUGAUAGUGUUGGAUUAAUGAAAUAUCAUAAAUUUUGACCCCAAUAAGGACCAAUCCCUAUUAAAUGUAAUUGGGUUGACCUAAGACUAAAUGUUAGACCCAACUAAUAAAAACCCAUCUGUUUGUUGGAGUCUAAAUAACCCAGCCUUAGGUAGGGCCCAUGCCUUAUUAUUUUAAGAUGUAGUCCAACUGGUUUGACACUGGAUUGAGUAAAGCCCAACUUAUGAGCAUCUGUGCAUUUCCAUCCAUCCACAACCUACUGGCAUGGACAAACUUUGGUCAAUUAAACCUAUUAUAAAUGUAUACAAAAUUUUAAGUUCAAAAGAUAAUUUUUCUUAUUUAGUUAGGAUUCAUAUUAAAAAGGCACAAAGCACGAAUUUUCAUGUUUAAAUUCACAAAUAUCACGAAAGCUCCUUCAAGCUCUAUGGACCAUUUUAUUUGUAACAUUAUAUUACUCUUAAUUAUCAAAUUAACCAACAAAUUCUUCUCAUUAGUUAUUUUUCUUUUGUAGUGUCAUAAAAUUUGAUGUAAAGUAAUAUUGGUCAUCAUUUCAACUUUCAUGUUCCAAUUAGAUGCAUCAAGCAUGUGCAACAUAUUUGAUAUAACUAAUAUUUUUAUAAGUAAUUGAAUUUUUUUUUCUAUAAAUCAAUUAACUUGAUUAUCAAUGAAUACUUUCAUACAUGAUAUUGAUGUAGUUUCAUAAAUAUUUUUAAAUAGUCAUAGAAGUCUUUUAUCUGAUUCACUAGAAAGAAAAAUAAACUAUUCUAAUGAAAAUACUUGAUGAUUUGAAGUGAUUGCUUUUGAUUUUAUUUGAUUGCUACCAUUAUUAAUUGUUAGAAAUUGGCAACAAAUACCCAUUUUGCAUCACUUCUAUAUGCAUCGAGGGAAUGAAUUAUAUUUCAUAGAGCUAACAGGGCAAAACUCAUACUUUUGGAAUUAUGGAAAAGGUUGCUAGAAAGCUAAUUAACAAUUUAUAUUAUGAUUAAGACUAGUUGGGUUAGAAAUAAUUCAUAUGGAGAUUAAAAAAAACUAUGUAAUUUAGUUUAGUAGCUUGGGUGCUAUUGUAAUGAUUAAUGAUCUGCAACUUGAACACAUCUACUAGUGCUUUCUACUUGUAUAGCUAAAUUUAUGUUACCACUUUGAACUACAGUACUUACAUGAGAAGAAAGCUUUUCCUUAGUGAUAAUGCAAAAGAAAUUAAGUAUCAAUUUUUGUUAAACUAACAAGUGAUAGUUUAGAUAUGUUUUGAAUACACUUCCUUUCUUCUAUUUUUUUAUUUUGAAAAAAAAAACUCUUUAAUGAAAUAUAAGAAAUCUUAUAUGUAUAAAAAGUAAAGACUUAAACAAAAAAAUUCUUCAAAUUUUAAAAAUUUCGAGAAGUAUUUUUAAGAAUUUGUAUUUUUAGUAUAAUAAUUCCUAUAUUUUGUAUAAAAGCUUUUGUUCAAAAAAAUAGAAGUGUAUCCAAAUUAAAAAUUAAUGGUUAAAUUAAGAAUGUUUCUCAGAUCAAGGGAUAAUGAAAGUUGUAGAGAGUUUGCAUUACUCAACCUUUGCAACUACUUUUUGAAGGUAAAAGAAAAUACCUUCUUACAUAACAUACAAUGGCAAGUUCUGGUUUGUAAGAAACUAAUAAAUGAUUAAGAAUAUGAAUAAGACUUCCUUAAUAAUAGAUAUGUAGAGAAGAAUAGUGGAUGAUAGGAGGUGAAAAUCUUGUAAUAAAAUAUCAAUAUCGGUUAUAAGAUAAUCAACAUUUUCUUGUACCUAUGUGAUUAAGAAUCUUGUAGCUCCCUUAUUGAAAUAUAAUAUAAAAAUAUAAAUAAACUAUUUAGAAGUGCAUGUAGUUUUCAACAUGAGGAAGUUCAAAAGCAAGUUAAUUAUGAUAAUUUUCUAUAGUCUAUAUUGAACACAAAUUAUUUUUUCUAAAGGUUCAAUCGUUCUAUGAAGGUUAAAAGUUUGAAUUGUUUACAUAUGCAAAUGUGAAAUUUGAAAUUUUAUAAUGUUUUAUAAUUUUCUUGUAGAUUCAAAAAACUUGUCCAUAUUCAAAAAGCUCGAGACCUUGAACCUCAAUCACAACAAGUUCAAAAACACUAGCCUACAACAAUUGAAUAUAUUUACAUCCCUUAAAAAUCUUUCUCUAAGACGGAACUAUGAUGGAGGAUUUUUUCCGAUCCAAGGUAUGUGUAAUUAUUAUUAUUAUUUUUAAUGAUAAAAUAUUAGAAUUGUCAACAUCUUUUAUCUUUUUUCCCCUCAAUGGUGUUGCAGAAUUAUGCACUCUAGAAAACUUGGUGAUGUUGGACCUAAGUGGGAAUUUCUUUAUUGGCAUGCAAGGUAAAUACAAAGUGAAGUUUUGGUUAUAUAUAUAUAUCAUGUAAGAACAUAACUAAAAUCAACAUUCUUUGCCUAUCAAUUUGUGCAUGACUAUUAUUUAGUUAUUCUUCGUAACAUAAUUGAAAGAAUGUUUAGGUGUAUAACAUUUAAGAAUUUUACAUGGCACAAUGAAAAACAUGGUAAUCAAUGUAUGCAAUAAAAUUCUAAUAGUUGAAAAAGAAUUUUCUUGUAAUUUUAUGUUCGUGUAUAGUAAUCAAAGAGAAAAUCAUGAAAAUGUAUAUUAGUUAGACUUUAUAUAUCAAUAGACAAAAAAGAAAGAAAAAAGAUUAGUUCCUUAACUUAUCCUAAAAUUUUCUAGAUAACAAGGAGUUUUUUUAUUUUGGGCUAUAAGAUUUACAACCUGAAAAGUGAAGAUGAUUAAUAUUAGUAAUAUAAUUUUGAAAUAUAAAAAUUAAUGAAAUAAUGUUCUCUAUAACUAUAACUGCAACUGCAACUAUUAAUAAAAGAUAAUAAAAGUACUUUAGACUUUGAAUCCAUGGUUAGGUUUGCAAUUUUUUGAUGAUCAAUAAAGCUACAACUUAUGCUGCAAAAGGCUAUACAAAAUGUAUUAGGAGCAUUGCUAAGCUCAUUUAUCAAUAAAAGAAAUCCAGUAAUACUUUGAUUGGAAAAAACCUAGAAUCAUGUUUGAUAUAUAUAAUAGGAGAAGAAACAAAAUAACAAUUCCAUGGUAUUAGUUAGUUUGAUAUCCCUUUUGUUAUAUGGAAUAACUAUUCCAUUUUAAAAUAAUUAUUUCAUCUUAUCGCUAGAACAAAAAAUUUCAAGCAAUUAUAUGCGCUUUUGGGUUUCUUAAGAAUUUAAGCAUUUAUGGGUCACCCAUAUAUACAUAUAUAUAUAUAUAUAUAUAUAUAUAUAUGUAGGAAGAAUAAAAAAAAAUAUUAUACGGAGACAAGGGUAGACACCCAUAUAUAUAUAUAUAUAUAUAUAUAUAUAUAUAUAUGUAGGAAGAAUAUAAAAAAAUAUUAUAUGGAGACAAGGGUAGACACCCAUAAAUGUACAUAUAAUUAUUUAAAUAAAAAAUCAAUAAGAAACAAUAUACAACAAAAUAGAAAAUUUUAAUCUUCUUAAAUUUUAAAAAUAAAAACUAAAUGAAAAAAAAUUAAGAAGUAAAAAUAAUAAUAAAAAGGUCAAGAAUACAAAUAGAGAAGUAAACAAAAAAAAUACAUAAAUUAAAAUUAAAAUUUAAAAGAAAAAAUACAUAGAUUAAUAUGAACACUAAAUGAGGUUUUUUGAGAUAGACUUAGUUAGACCUGAACCAGAUGGAUAUUAAAAAAAAUAAAAAAAAAUUGAAAGAAAUAAAAACUAAUUAGAUGCUAAAUAUUGGAUUAAAAUAACCAAAUGAAUAAAGAGUAAUUAUUAAUUUUUAACAUUUUUUAUUCCCUAGAAUUAUUAUUUUGUGUAUUAAAUGUAUUCUGAGUGUAGUGGUAUAAAAAAUGUAGUUAAGAAUACUAUGAAGAAUAAUAAUGGUGAUGAUAAUGGUGACGACACUUAAUACCUUUUAUUGUACGUUUAGAAAAAAUGAGGUUCUUGAUCUUUAUGGAGAUUAUCAUUACUCAUCCGCAAGCAUGUUGAUAGUUGAAACUACUCAAUUAUCAAAAAUUGAAUUUCUAACCUUCAAUUUUUCUCUCUCAAAUGUAUAUGUGGGUGAGAAAGCACUAGGAAGAUUAUAAGGUCUCACAUGUAUAUGAGUCAUAGGAUAAAAAAUAUAGAGACAAUACUAGCAUUUAUUUGAUCUAGUGGCAAAUAGAGAAAUAUAAAAUAACCAUAACCAUAAUGUUCUAACCUUAUAUAUACCAGAACCAUGUUUCCUUCAUUCAAUGUUGCAACUUUUUCUUUUCAAAUUAGAAUGUAACUUGUAGGAUCCAUUGCCCAUCAAAAUUUUGAAUCGAAUAUUAUAAGAUAUUUCACAUUUCUACCUACUAAAGCAUGAGCUUCAAUGUUCUCAUGCACUUUUGGCUACUAAGUUAAAGAACCCUUUGAGGAUUAAUGGAGUUUCUAUGAGUAGCAAAGCAUUAUAAUCAGAAAGUCUUAUCAGUGAUAUGCAAUUUGACCAAGAACUUAUUCCCAACUAUUUUAUGAAUUUUAUGACUUUUCUUGGCUACUUGUAGGCAAGCUAAAGAAAUUUUCUGGUUUGUUCAAGUCUAAAAAGUGGUUUCAAGUUUAGGGCCAAGCUUGGGCUGCACCUAGGUCCUUGGGCCUUGUUCAGCUCCACGUUUAAACCAACCUUGAGUCCAUCUUUGUAAUUUUUCUCCCAAUUCAUUGAUUAAUAUUAGGAUUUUAUAGAGCCUAUAAAUUGACCAACUAAAUAAAGUAGGUUCAUAAACUUUUAGGUGAAAAUUUUCUCUUUAAUAAAUGUUAAUUCAAGAGUCUCCGUAAUCUUUUUAUAUUCAUAUUAAUUGGUAUUUAAACCGACCUUACUAUAUUAAAGUCAAAUACCAAAUAGUGAACACUAUAUCUACUACUACCACUAUGAUGGUCACAAACAUAGAAUGCUCCAUUUUUUAGAGUCAAUUGAUGCUUAUAAACAACUUUGUUUGAAAAUAAAACACAUCGAGUGAUUGCAUCAAGAGAUUGAUGUAAUAAUUGCAUACUUGAUCUAGAUAAUGUUAAUAUGAGUUGACUAAAUAAAUGAGUAUUUACUUAUAAGGUAGCCCAUAGAACAUUAUUUGUGGAAAUAUUCAUGCACCUCUACAUAUGUUCAUGAUAACUUAGGUUGAUAAAUUUAAGAAGAACAAAUUCAUAACCUUGGGCAUAGUUAGUAAGAAAUUUCACCAAUAGAGUUUGGUAUCAUGAUUCUAAUUGUUCAAAUUGUUUUAAAGGAGUAUUUUAAAUUGCAUGUUAAUUUGCUUCUAAUAAAUGGAGAGAAACCAAUUCAAGAAGAGAAUUGUACUCAAGCUAUGUAUAGCAUUCAUGAAGAUGUAGAAAAUAUUGAUGAACUUACUUUUGAGCAAGUUGAAAUCAUAAUUAAAUAAAAUAACAAACCCAAGGGUUAAGAUUGUCAAGUAAAACUUUAAUUAAAAUUUAUUGAUUUUUUAAAUGCCUAUUAGAGGAGCAAUAGAAGUUCUAGAUAGAAAGUAAGAACUUUUCUAAGGAAUCACUUGUUAGAUUUUAAGUGAUCAAUAAAUAUAAUGUCCAAUUUAAAACUUUUAUAAAAGCAAUGGUUCUAAAGAAUAACUUGAUUUGAAUUUAAAGUUAUUAUUGAUAUUUAUUUAUAAUGGAUGUAGUUAAUCAAUUGAACAUAGUAAAAAACACAUAAUUUUUUCAAAAUACCUUCUAAUUGUUGGGUAUAUUUAAGUAGUUAUUCAUAUCUCAUUAUCUUUUUACUCACAUACUAAUCUCCUUAUUGAGUAUUUACCAAUUACAAGUAGGUUGAAAGUUACUUGAAUUUAAGUCACUAAUCAAUGUUAACUUGAUGACAAAUAAGUCUCCCUUUGAAACUUGUUUUAUAACAUAGCGAAAUGUAGUCGAUCAAUCAUCAAAACAAUGUUUAAGCAUUGGGAUUUAGUUGUUAAUUUUUAUUUUUUAUUUUUUGUGCUUAAACAAAGACAAAAAUUAUAAAAACUCCUGAAAAGUACAUAUUAAUUGAAUUUAAUUUAUACAUCAAACAAGAACAAACUAGUCUUGGAUUUAAAAUUCAAUAGGUUUUGUAAUUAUAAUUCCUAAAAAUUUGUAAGACAACAAAAUUAUUGGACACUAGGCUAUUGGGUGUGUAUGACUAAGAGGUGAAGGAGGGUUCAUCUUAUACAAAGGAUGAUUUGAUUAAUUUUAAAGAUUGAAUAAACAAUAAUUGCAUAUUCAAGUAAAAAUAACAUUGCUAAAAAGGAAAAUAAGUAUUUUAGUCCUCAAACCUAAAAUGGCUAAAAAAUUUAAUUAAUACAAUUACAACUUCACCUACAAAAAAAAAAAAAAAAAAAUACCCAAAACUUUUCAAUAGCACAACUAAGUCCAUUUAUCAAAAGCUCUAUGAACAACAACAACUAUCAAAUCACAUAAAUCAUGUUGUUUACAAAGUGCCCUUGAUGUUUUAAAACAUAAGAUAUUACAUAAAAAUCAACCAAUAGUGUAUGACAUUAUAAAAAACAUAUCCAAAUCCAUUGUCGAACUUAAACUAAAUUCAACUUUAUAUACAUAGUCGCAAGUGGGUCUUUUUGUCUUUCAAUUUGGGUCAAAUUCAGAUGUUAGUUUUUUACACAACAAGGGAUUAUCAAG